UGAAGUUGUUCAUCAGGUUUGCAUAUACUGGAGGUAGUUGAUCUAUCAUAUAUAAUAAAAUAAAUAUUAUAUGAUGAUGCAAUACGAUUUGACCAGUGUUAAAAAAAUCAACGUCCCAUUUAAACUUAGGAUCCAUCAAUCAGUAAAAUACCUAAAAAUCAGACCAUUUGUCGUAAUACAAUAAGAAUAUAUCCUUUUAAAACGACUUAUACUAGACAAAAACUCUCAUUACCAAAUAGAUCAUGAAUCCACGAAGAAGAUCCUAAAGCAACAUAAGUCUGAGUGCAAAACAAAUCUGUUACGCUUCUGAGAAUUUUGAUUUUUUUCUUGCCAAAGUUCGUAAGCUUUAUGUUUUAAAAGAGAAAAGAGAGGUGGCUCUACUAGAGCCACAAUCUGACACCUUUCCAUGGAUCUGUUGGUACAUUUGGAAGGUGAGGAAUGCAAACUCUUUGAUGGCAAAAGUCAUAUCCUUGAUUGACACUUUUCAACUAGCUUCUCUUCAGACAGAAAAUUGGAGAAAGGCUAACCAAAAGGAGGAGGAAGUAGAUGAGGAUCACGACGAUCCUCAUGACACAUUUGCUGAGAAAGUACCCUCUUAGAUACCUCGAAUCCCAACUUGCUAAAUCGAUGCUUCAUAGAUUGGUAAUGGCAGUGUUAGUGGCAUAGGAUGGAGUCUUAAGGAUCACAUGGGUAUUGAAUCAUUUGGACUACUUGAGUGCGAUAGAAUCCUCUCGGCUUUACACGAUGAGAUGAAAUGAUUAAUUUGGGCAGCCUUAUGUAUGAGAGACAUGAAGAUCCACUUUGAGACGAACUACUAUGACCUACUGGAUAUGACUACGAGUCCGAUGGACUCGCCAGUUGUUGUUUUGGAGAUUGAUACUUUCCGGAGUCUACCUAAUUACUUCGAGAGUGUGGGCAUCCUUCAUAGUCUUUGAAACGAGAAUGGUCGGACUGACCAACUAGCGAAAGAGGCUAAGACCAGAAGCUUUACUUUUUUCCAUACAUAUCAGACACAGUCAGAUAGAAGUGCUCCUCGGAGGACCGUCUCGUCCGACCAAAACUUGGUCUAACCAAAUUGGUAGUUGACAAAAAAAAGUUUCUCUAUUAACACUCUUGAACAAACCUAACUUUAACUUUUUAAUCUAAGGAUAUGGAGUUAUUGGAAAACUAUGUUGCCCAAGCGGUCCUAUUGAUACAGGUCUUGACCAUAAGUCAAUUUCUACAUUAAGAUUGUUAUACACAAAAUGGCAUGUAUAAAGUCAAAUCGAAGUAUUAAGUUUCUAGGAAUAUAUUUAGCUUGUAACCAUUGUGUAUUCAGAACCUACAUUACAAAACUUCAAAUCUUUGCUAUGAAAGUUAAAGCCUAGUAGAAAAUUUGUUAUUUUAUAUGGCAAGUUAUAUCAAUACAUUUAAUUGUAACUUUGAAAUUUUACAUGCCAUCAAUGGAUGUGAUAAUCAUUGUUCCAAAUACGAGCAUAUGAUAAAUCCAUUAAUUAUGAUAUUUUUGAGUGUUUCCAGCUUUACAAAUAUGGAUCUUAGCAGCAACAUCUUCUUUUCCGUUGGUAUCUCCUAGUAUGAGUGUAGGGUCGUGCCUGAUACCAAGCAGAUCAAGCAUUGGUUUUGGAGCCAACAAAAGAAUAUUUAUUUUAGGGGCCAAGGAUAAGUGAAGUUUCUCUUUAGUUCUGGUGGCAAAAACUAGAUAUAUACCAGCUGGAGGUUAUGGGUUCAAAUAACAAGGGAACACCUUUUAAUAUUUUUAUGUUUUAGACCAAAUUUUUUUUUUGCUUCUGGGCUUGAAAUUGUCAGGCCCGGCCCAGUAUGAGUGCAUAUAUAUGGAUAAUCUUUUCUCGUAUUGUUGAAGCUUUCAUACGGACCGUAUCAGAAACUCACGAGCCUUAUUUUAACUUGGUGAAAAGGAAAAAAAAAAAAUUUCUGCAAUUAAGGAUUGCAGUCCACAAAGAAGGAAAACACUCUUAAUUUUAUUGAGUCACCAAAACUCACUGUUUUUACUAUUUAACAGACGUAAACGUCUAACUAAAGUUUGACUUGUACAUGACUAAAAAGGCUGAGUCAAUAGAAGUUUAGGAUUAUUUUGGAAUUUUUUAAAAAAAUUAGUAUUUAUUUGGCUUACUUAAAAGUUGGAGCUUUGUUUAGUUUAUUUUUGAAAGUUCAGGAUUUAAAUGGCGGUUUUUUCUAUGAUAAAUCCAUUAAUUAUGAUAUUUUUGAGUGUUUCCCACCUUUACAAAUAUGGAUCUUAGCAGCAACAUCUUCUUUUCUGCUGGUAUCUCCUAGUAUGAGUGCAUAUAUAUAGAUAAUAUUUUCUCGUGUAAGAAUGACAUUGAAGAUAAUUGGAUAUAAAUCCUUACCUAUUGAAAAUCUGGUAUAUUUGAAAAGUGCAAAGUUAUAAAUUGUUCAAAGGAAACAACAAAGAUUCCUUAGAUAUUGUUAGAUAUGUGGAAGCGAAAUGUUAAUCAUGGUUUGAGACUAAUAGUAAAAAUAUAGAUAUACCUGAAAAGCGACAAAAUCAAUCAUAUAUCCCAGCCGUAAGCUUACAUAAAACUUGUAUGGUUGGAUCAUGGACACAGCUCAUCUUAAUGAUUUUGGAUGGGUUUGGACAAACUCUACGGAGCAAUUUCAACUUUUGGAAGCUAAAAAAGUGUCACUAAUACAUACAAAGCUUGUUAUUCUUUCUUGGGACAGAAUGCAUAGUUUCCUGUUCAUGACUAGUGAUCUUUUUUUCCAUUCAUCUCCACUUGUUUAGAGUUUCAAAAAUUAUUAUUUAAUCUUUUUGGCGGCAUCAAAAAUUAUUACUAUUUGACUAGAGAUUUUUAGUCAAAGAUAAUAUGAACUGUGAUUGACCAAAAAAAAAAGAUUAUAUUAAUUGUGAAUCUGUGGUGCCUACCAUUUCGUAAUGGGCUCCCGAUUCAGACUAUUUGUACAAGAGUCCAAUGCUUAGUUAAAACGACGUCGUUUAGCAACUCAUGUACAAGAGUCCAAUCGCCUUCGACCUCGUUAAAGACGAGUGAAAGAGAAGAAGGUUCUAGGGUUAUAUUUGUGUAGCAAGUAAUGGCGUUAAGAAAUGCUCUACUUAGAUACCUUAGAGUCAAUGUCACGCCUACUCUCCGAAGCUCAAGCAUCACUUCUCAUCGAGGCGUAGCUCCCUUGUACGUUAUUCUUCGUCGUCGUUUCUCCGAGGAAGUCAGAGGAUCAUUCCUCGACAAAUCCGAAGUCACAGAUCGUGUUGUCUCUGUCGUCAAAACUUUCCAGAAAGUAGAGCCUUCUAAGGUAAUUGCGAGCCUCAAUUAUUUUACCACCACCAAUCUGAAAAUCCAUUUAGUUUGAUUUUGAUUGGAAUGAUAGUUCUUCUUAUGUGUCGAAACUAGCAAUACAUUGCGAUAGAUUGGAAUGAUAGUUCUUUUGUUUUGUUUUUUCACUUUAUGUGAACAAGAACCUGAUGAAGCAUAUAUAUAUAUAUAUUUGUUUGAUUUGACUUGAUACUUUAAAAGUAUGUGUGAUUCGUGUUGUUCCAGGUGACACCAAAGGCACACUUCCAGAAUGAUCUAGGGCUGGAUAGUUUGGACACAGUGGAGGUGGUUAUGGCACUCGAAGAAGAGUUUGGAUUCGAGAUACCUGAUAACGAAGCAGAUAAGAUACAGUCCAUCGAUCUUGCUGUUGAGUUUAUUGCUUCCCACCCACAGGCUAAAUGAGUCAUGAAAAUCAAACAUGUUUAUUUUGCUAGAGUGAGACAUUUUCAAUUUUUUUUUUGUCAUGUUUGUUAAUGCAUCUAGAAACGUGAUUCGUCUUCUUUAAGCAUCUGAGAAGAUUGUAAUUAAUUUGGAGUCUAUCAUAUGGUAGUAAGUCAUAAUAUAGCUUAUGGAGACGCUCUUAUUUCAUUAACCGAGACUUCUCUUCCUUAUUACCAUCAAACAAUGUUCCUUCCAUUUCAUUGUAUAAGAUGUUUCAGAAUUUUCUUCCUUCAUUUUCUUUUAUGUUUCUAUGCAAAUUUUAUAUGAUCGAUGAUACAUAUGACUAGUGCUAAUAUUCUGUAGCAUCUUUAUGUGUUGAGUUGUUUUAAUCUUUGCGUUAGAACAGCAUAUAUUUCGAUUUUAAAAAAAAAGAAUUCAAAGAAAACAUCGGACAUUGGUCAGGUUCUAAGGGGCAGGCCAUUCCUUGAAAUGUCCUAACGCGAUCUCUAGAUGGUAAAGCUUCGCCGUGACAGUUUCACCAACGACCAAGGGGCCACCGUGAGUCUUGAGGUGAUUGUCCAACGCCUCGAGCUCAUACAACAAAACCUUCUCAGUUCCGUCAUUGGCGUGAUCUUUCCUCUUCAGAAACAUGAUAAUAGCACCGAUAGAGGCAAACUCAGGAGGGAACCAUCACCAGGGAAGGCUCCGGAUACUUUUUCCUCGAUGAUUCCAACUAUAACAUCGGAAUUAGCCACCCAAUUCUCAUUGUCAUCGAACUUCACCAACGGAAACUUUCGCUCGGGACUAAUAGCCAAGAACCAGUCGGGUAUAAAGGACAGUCACCAAGAACAUCAGGUGCACCUGAAGCGGCCUUUACGCAGACUUAUAUUCCCAUUUGUUGUUCGAUAGUAUACCAUAUUAAAGUGGAUAUACAAGGCAUGACGAGCCUACAACAACCUUUGAUGUGUGAGGUUUAUAAAUACUGUAUAAUUCAAAUGUUUUUGCGUGCGUCCCAACAUUCUUCAGUUUGUCUUUACACUCUCCUAAUGUCCUAAUAGUAAUAAAGAAUAUGUACUCCUCGGUUGUUUAUUUCCUUUAACAAUGCAUUAAGAAUUUGUACUAUUGGAGUAAAGGGGUUUCCACAAAACGAGUUUUGACUUUAUGCAAUGAUUAAAGAAAGCUAAUAAUUUUGUGGUAUGUUGAAGUAUCUAGCCUUGACAACACACUAACCAUGGUUUCAAAAUACGGUUUUAGAAAAGAUAUAAUAAUAUAAAACCUGAGUCAUGCCACAAUGAAAUCUUUUGACUCUUUAAACAAUGAAGUCUAAAAUUAUUUGUCACUACACGUAAAAUCAAAUAACAACGUUAAGCCAGUCAUAACACCAGCUGGAUAGUCUGGUCGUUACCAUAACUAGCCUACGAAUGCAGGUUGUUCCAGUGACAGCUCCACAAAAGAUAUAUUUUAAAAAAAAAACUGAGAAAGAAAUGAUCAUCUUCUCCUGGGUGCGGAACCGCGAUGAAUCGCUGCUGGCGCUUGCCCUUGAGACCCCGCAGGUUGUUCUUCAGCCAUGUUACUCGCUUGUGUCACAGCAUUCAUCACUAUGAGUCCAAGUGGUAUCAAGUACAUCCACUGUCAUUCCAAAUUUCAGUUAUUUCCAAGUCACAUCACGGUUUAUAAUUUCAUUAUAUAAACGAAAUUAGUGUGUGUUUUACUCUAUAACACUCACAUAUUUUGCCCAAAAUGAUCUCUCUACUGGCGCUUCUGCUUCACCUUCCAUAUUCUCGCUACUGCCGAGAAUCUCCUCCGUGAAUAUUGGAGUUCUGCAUGUAGACAAUUUACCAAACAAGGUUUAUGUGUAUGUCAAUAACUCAAAAUCAUUUGGUGAGUUUAUAAAAAUAGAUGUACACUGACUGAUGUUUCUACCUUGGUGCCUGCUCACUACUCUUCAAGAUGGUGUGGGAGUUAAAUGUCCAUUUUCCUGGCUAUAUUAAACACAAAACAUUUAUCAGACACUCUAAACCAACAACAUUCUAAGAACCAGGUUCAGUUAACAACAGUAGAUAGGUGGUUUCAGUUCUUAGAAUACCAAAGAACAAUUGGAUAACAUGUGUUACUUACAAGUUUCAACUGUCGAGGAUACGGGCAUGCUCCAGGAGAGCCGUAACUGACUGCCAAAAUGUUGGCACCAUCCUGCAAUUGAGUAGGAAAGUGUGACAAGUUAAUAGCGAGAAACUAAUUGUCACACGACGCNNNNNNNNNNNNNNNNNNNNNNNNNNNNNNNNNNNNNNNNNNNNNNNNNNNNNNNNNNNNNNNNNNNNNNNNNNNNNNNNNNNNNNNNNNNNNNNNNNNNNNNNNNNNNNNNNNNNNNNNNNNNNNAGAGAGAAAAGAAAAUAACAAAAAUCAAGUAAUUAGUAAUGGCAAUGAAAACGUUUCUAUGUUUUAACCAUUCCAAAGGUAACAGGUUUGGACUUAUAUCUAAAAAAAAACAAGUAAAUUAGAACGUCGGAAUCACAGAAGUAAUCUUAUCUCAAAGAAGUAGAAGGGAAUGGUUAAUGUCUGUAAAAAGCUGCAACAAGAUUAACCUAGUAGAAAAAUACAAGCAGGUACCAAUAACUCAAAGAAAAAUAUAUUUGAUACUAAAAGAACUUAAUAAUGUGAAUGAUAAUUAUAAGAAAGAGUUGUCAGUAAGAUGGUGAAUCAACUGCAAAAUGGAGAUCAAAGAUUAAAAAGAAAAAAAGGAGAAGAAGUGAACUUACAGCUCUCACUGAUGCAAUCACAUACUCUCUCCCAGGUGGAGUGACAACAUUAGAUGGGAGUCUUAUUCUAUAAAAGUCAUCUCCUUUGAGCAGAUUCUACAAAACGAGUUUUCACAGCAAAGGCAAAACUUUAUUCUUGUGUAUUUUCCAAAAUUAAAAUUUAAAAAAAGAAACAAAAACCAGUAGUAGGGAGAUAACUAACUUGAAAGGCAUGUUUCUCUUCAUCAGAAAACUCAUUCCGAGCGAACCGCAGUUUCGUUAAUGUCUGCAUCCGACAAGAUAUAUGGUUAAUUAGCAAAUCAAUUUGAGUUGUUUGCACCAAAAUCUAAUCUCUGAUUCUCUAAAGUCUAUGUAACUAAGACUAUCUACGAUCGAUCGAUGAUGGGGGAAAAGAGAGCAGACCUGACCACCAUGGCUCCAAGUCUUGAGGCGAGCGGAGAAAGUGCCGGCGGAGGAGAAAUCAGAGUCUCCGAAGGCAUGUUCGAGGGUGAAUUGGAUCUUGGAGUCCAGAUCAGGAUCCGAGUACCGUCUACGGAUACUCGGAGUCUGCUUGGGAGGUGAAUCUGUGAUAACUGGUUCGGGGGAGCGAGGAUGGGAUCCUCCCUCAAGACCAAACUCCUCGUCGUCGAGGAGGAGCUCGUCUGAUUGGAAAGCGAAGGAGGAGGAGAAUAAUAAAGUGGAAAGGAAGAGCACAAGUGUGAGAUUCGGCAUGGUCACCGUCGUCUUUCUUGUUCAAGCCGAGAGAGAGGUUUGGACUUUGGAUCCAACACAAGACUUGUUUUUGUCCAAACUUUACAUUCGUUAAAUUGCAAUUGACCCCCUUUGUAUUUAAUAAAUAUCCGUUUUCCGACUCCUAAACAUUCUGAUCCUCGUUUUUUUUAGGUUGAAAUCGAUUGUUUCCUUCAACUAUUCACACCAAGCUUCCCAAUUGUCUUCCUAAACUAAUAAUUCAACUAAUUUAUCACAAUUGUUUUCAAAUUAACCAAAUCGUAUUUAGUUAAGGGUAAUUGUCAAUAUAGCACAUUUUGAAGUUUAUGUCUCAAAAAUAGUACUAGAAGGAGAAAAUCACAAAAAUGAUAUUCAUUAAAGGGUAAAAUAUCCAUAAUACCCUUGGUUUAAAAUUAAAUAAACAAACAAAAAUAAAUAAAAAAUAAAUAAAAUAAAAAUAAAUAAAUGAAUUUUUUUUUAUAGAUUCAGAUUAUAUGUUUUCAGAUUCAAAAUUUUUAUAUUUUUUUUUUAUUUUUUUAUUUUUUUUUUCAAAUUUUCUUUUUAUAAUUUAAAAAUACUUUUUGAAACUGUUUUUAAAUUUUUUAUUUUUUAUUUUAGUAUUUAUUUUUUAUAAAAUUUAAAACCCUAAUUUCAAAAUCCUACCCCUUAACUCUAAACCCUAAGGUUUGGAUUAAUUAAUCCAAGGGGUAUAAGUGUAUAUUUAUCUCUUUAAUGAAAUCUAUUUUUGUGACUUUGAGCCUUGAAUGCUACUUUGAGAACAAAAAUUUGGUUUGGUGCUAAACUUUGGGAACAAAAACCUUUUGUAUAAACAGGUUUUUAAUGUUUUAACCUGAUGAAAACAUCAAUCUGAUUUUAAUCUAUAUUAUUAAAAUAGAAGUACAAAAAUAAAUUAACCUUUAGUUUUUCAAGUUAUUUAUACUGUCAUGCUACUGAAACUAUAAAUAAUCUUUACUUUAACUAGGAUUUGACCCGCCCUACGGGCGGGUUAGUAACUAAAAAAAGUACAUAAUGUAUCAUAUUUUUUAAAAAUAUUUUAAAAUGUAUAGUUUAUUUAAAUUGUAAGUUAUCUUUAAAUUGUAAUACCAAAAAUUACAAUUAUACGUAUUUCAAAUUUUUAAUAUUGCAAUUAUACAUUUGUAUCUAUUAUCUAUUUUGAUAAUUUAUUUUUCUGCAUUUCGUGUGGAACAUUUGUUAAUUUUAUAAUAUUUUUUAGUUAUAAUUUAACACUUAUCUUGAUCUAACAAAACAAUAUUUUAGGUAUUUCAAUUCAUAUCGUUUUCAUUUGUUUAAAGGGGAGAGUUGUUAUUGGAUAAGUGUUAAUGUCCUUCAAAAACUUAUCCCUAAAUUUUGGAGGCUUUGAAAGUUGUAAACUUUUUAUAAAGAAUUUAAUAGUUUGGGAGUAUAAGAGAAGACAAAAUUUACCAACAAUGGAUCAUGCGGAAAGUUGAAUUCAACAGACAUAAAAAAAAGGAUUACCUCUUCGGUUAAGCUUGGAUGGAAUUGUUUUGUUAGGUUUUGGAUGGUCUGUGGACCACCUUUGGAGCAAGGGAAACCAAAGUCCUAACCAAGUUGAAUAUUUUAGAAUAUUACCUAUUUGUAUGUGUUUUGAGUGGCUAAAUAUAGCACUUAACUAUAAGUUUAAACCAAAAAAAUAAUCAUAAGAUGAUCAAUAGAGACUUUCCCUUAAACAAACAAUGUAAGAGCAUAUGAAAACAUACCGUAAGGAGACGUGGAGACACUGUUCUGCAGUCCACUUCCAGGACUAAGAAAAUCAGCUCAUCCAUGCACUGGACGUCCCUAACCCGCAAAGACCAGUAUCUUACUUUGAACCACAAAGCUUUUCCUGCGUAAGUGCAAACGGUAAAGAUCACUCUCAAACUAUGCAACAACUGAGUUUAUUAUGCAAUAAAAAUUUAUUCAAGAUUCCGAAAGAGAAUGCAAGUGAACAUAUAUACCUAUUGCGAACCGUUGUGCUAAGAAGAAACUUAAGAAAUCUUGCUGAAACGAAAGCUCCCAUAGCCAAAGGAGUAUCCAUUGUGCUCUGAAAUAAUAGAGAGGAUAUCACUUACAACUACUUUGAGCAUGACAUUUAGAUUUACGAUAGCAUAGAAAUUAAAAAAGAAAUGCACUUUGACUUGGAAAAUACAUGUGGCAGCAUAGCAUGCAUCACCCAUUUCACUAAUUGGGAAACAAUAGCAUCCACACCCCAUCUUUCGAAACAACUUCACCGUCCAAAAUCCCAAAGCUUCUUUUGUAAUGGCUAUUCCUGCAAACAAUCAUUAUGUGACAAUUAUUUUAAAAGAGUAUUGUUACCUGAAUGGGAAAUCGAGUGGCAAUUACUAUCAUUAUGCUCAAUGAUAAAUUGCUUGCAAUAUACAUCCAUUUGGUAAAAAUGUUCUCUUUACAAAUAUCAAAAGAGCGUCUGCAAGAACUGAAAAGAGGGAAGAACUAUUUAAAAAAAAAAACAAAUGAAAGCAGGGGACUAAGACUUAUUGGAGCUUACAUGUCUUGACUGAGCCAGAAUUUAUUGGAGAAUGAAUGAUCCAGCUCCUACAUGCAGCAGUGAUGAACAUGUAAACCCAUAUCUUCUUAUCUAAGCUACAAACGAUAAGUGAAAAACAACAACUAAUCAGACAUCGAAUAUCUGGAGGGCAAUCACACAGACGUUAGAUAAAGUUUUUUAAUUUUUUUUUUGCUAAAAUACGUUAGCAACAGUUGGUUUUCAAUAAUCUGAGGAAACAUGAUAAAUAAGAAGAGAGGAUCCUUACGUUGUCGAUUUGCUUGAGAUGUCGUUAACAGUGAAUUCAAAGAGAGGAAUGAGACCCGUGAUCUGGAUCUUCCCACAAAUAAUAUCAUGUGUGAGUGAAGCUAUAAACAUAGUUUCGACUUUCGUCUUUCAAUCAUACGAACUAACCUAACCUGUAAACAAAAAUCUGUAGGGAAGGAAGUCUCAUUAGAUUCAAAACAAAUAAAACCUAUAUAAAUUUCAGUACUUGUAGAAAGACAAAAGACUUAAAAAUAUCCAGCAGAAAGGCAAAGACACUACCUAAGCGUGAGGUUUGAUUUACCAAAUAUGACCCAUUUGAUCAACAGAGCCAGAAGCAAGCUUUUCCCGUUAGAAUUCCAGGCCACCGAAUUGAAAGACCUACGAAAAGAUGAAGAUCAAAAGAUGGAAAAAGUCCUAAACUUUAAAGAAAAAGAAGCUAAACCUAACCAGCUCAAGGAUGUUGAAAAUUCAGAGAUGAAAAAGUCCACAACUUAACUCAAGAACAGACAAAAUAGGUAGCUCAACUAAUUUAGAAACCGCUUUCAAAUCUCCAUUUAUCAACCACCAAAGCUAAUAAACAAAACGUAUCUUAAACUGGAUGAUGAUGCAGUGGUUUAUAGCAAAAUUAGUUGUUUCAUCGUAUAGGCCGAUCCUUCAUUCUCUGAGAACCCGUGCAGAUACCACAGCUCAGUAUGACUACGGUCGUGUGAUAAUGGCACCGGCUUCGACUUCUUCUCAGGUUUAUCAUAGCGGUGUUCACAGAAAGCGCGGGCGGCGUGCUCUAGGCUCCAAUUGUUGUCGCUGAGGUCCUUGGUUCUUCCGCCGCGGUUCUCUGGCUCUCAGACGGAGGUUGAGCCGGCGACGGCAAGUUUUUCUGCGGCAAGCCUCCAUCGCCAUAAAGAUUUCGUGUAACGUAGUAAACAGAGAAGAGGAAGAGAAAGGGGAUCGAAGAUCCAUUUUGAUAAAUUAGGGUUGGUUCUUCGUGGAAAGGGGAAAGGGGACUUCAGAGAGCCACCGGUUUCUCGAUUCUGAACAUUAUCGGGCCUGUAGAAUGCGAGGCCCAAAUGACACGCGCGGACCUUCUGACGUGACGAAUAUCUGAUUCCCUAUUGGUUGAUUUUUUAUACUGACGUGGACAGACUCAAUGGAGCUCAUAUAUCCUUUUAAUAUAGUAUAGAUUAGUGUUAUCUUUUCCAAUUAAUAAAUACAUUUUCCUAAUUCUAAUUCGUACCUACAAUUAAUUGAACAUAAUCUGUUUUUUAUUAACUAAACUACAGUUUGAAAAAUCUCAGGAAAAUGAAAUCGUUUUCCUCCAAACUAAAACCUACAACUUUCUUCAACACCUAUGAGCACCUAUAGCUCAUGAACCUGUAAACAGAGCAAUGAAACAUAACUUUAGUUUUUUAAAACAAAAAUCAUGACUUCGAGUCUUCAUUGCUAUCAUACAUAUAUUAAUAAUUAUUUCUCCACAAGUCCAAUGUUCAAUCACGUUCUAAUUGGUAUCGUAUUAUUGUAACCUAUAACCGAGAUAGAUACAUAUUUUUUUCUUUAUUAAUGAAAUCAAAUCAUCUAUACAAAUCGAUUUUUUAAUCUUUCUGAACAAACAAAAUCAAUAAGUUCAGAUCAAAACAAAAUAUCUUUUAUUAGUCUAUCCAAACCUAUAAUCAAUGUCAGAAUCUUUAUUAUACCUAUAAAAUAUAGAAACUAUAGCCUGAAUUAUCGCUAUCUAUUAUAUUUAUAUAAAUCUAUCUAUACUAUUAUUUAUAAAGUGAUUUAGUUAAUUUGUCAUGAUUUUCAUGAUUUUAGGUAAUUUUGCUUAUUUGUCAUGUUUUAAUUAGGUUUAAGCUGAGUCAUUAAUUUAUUAAUAGUUUUUAGAUGAGUUCAUAAUUUAUUAAUUUAAAUAAUAUAACUAUAAAAUAUGUAAUUAGAUGUAUGAUUAUUUUGAUUUUGUUUAUUUGUUAUGUUUUCCAUGAGUUUAGUCAAUGUUGCUUAUUUGUCAUAUUUUUAUUAGGUUUUAGCUUACUCAUUGAUUUAUUAAUAAUUUUUAGCCGAAUCACUAAUUUAUUAAUUUUUUAAAAAAUAUCUGUAAUGAAUUUUAUAUAUAAUUAAAAAUAAAUUUUAUUUUAAGAGUAUAAAGUUUAUAUGUUAUAUGUUACAUUAAAUAAUUGAUUAUAAAAUAAUAUAAUAGAAUUAUAAAAAAUAAGAUUAUUCUUAUAUAUAUUGUGUUGCUAUCUGAAAACAAUAUUUUAUUAUAAAAGUUAAAAAGUUAAGAUAAAAAAAGCAAUUGAUAAUUAAAUAUUAGUCAAGCAAAAAAAUUAUAUAAAGAUAUUUUCUAAACUAUUUCUAAGAUAUGAGUGUUUAAAAAAAAUUAACACAAUAGUAAGUAUAUAUUUUGAUAAAAAAAUAUUUGACAUAUAUAAAUACUUUGAUGUUUGAUUUAACUAUUUAAAACCAUAAAUAAUAACUUAUUAUGUUGGUUUUAGAUUAUUCUCAGUUUCAUAAUGGUAGUUGAUUUCACCAUUCUGCAUCACUUUGCCACACCAACUUCUUUCACCUCAAUUUAUGUGCCUAUUGCAUCUUUGUCCUUGGAAAGUACAGUAAUACGAAACAUCAGAAGGAAAAUCUGUAUGGAAGGAAGUCUCAUUAGAUUCAAAACAAAUAAAACCUAUAUAAAUUUCAGUACUUGUAGAAUGACAGAAGACUGAAACAUAUCCAGCAUAAAGGCAAAGAAACUACCUAAGCGUGAGGUUUGAUUUUCCAAAUAUGACCCAUUUGAUCAACAGAGCCAGAAGCAAGCUUUUCCCGUUAGAAUUCCAGGCCACCGAAUUGAAAGACCUACAAAAAGAUGAAGAUCAAAAGAUGGAAGAAGUCCUAAACUUUAAAGAAAAAGAAGCUAAACCUAACCAGCUCAAGGAUGUUGAAAAUUCAGAGAUGAAAAAGUCCACAACUUAACUCAAGAACAGACAAAAUAGGUAGCUCAACUAAUUUAGAAACCGCUUUCAAAUCUCCAUUUAUCAACCACCAAAGCUAAUAAACAAAACGUAUCUUAAACUGGAUGAUGAUGCAGUGGUUUAUAGCAAAAUUAGUUGUUUCAUCGUAUAGGCCGAUCCUUCAUUCUCUGAGAAUCCGUGCAGAUACCACAGCUCAGUAUGACUACGGUCGUGUGAUAAUGGCACCGGCUUCGACUUCUUCUCAGGUUUAUCAUAGCGGUGUUCACAGAAAGCGCGGGCGGCGUGCUCUAGGCUCCAAUUGUUGUCGCUGAGGUCCUUGGUUCGUCCGCCGCGGUUCUCUGGCUCUCAGACGGAGGUUGAGCCGGCGACGGCAAGUUUUUCUGCGGCAAGCCUCCAUCGCCAUAAAGAUUCGUGUAACGUAGUAAACAGAGAAGAGGAAGAGAAAGGGGAUCGAAGAUCCAUUUUGAUAAAUUAGGGUUGGUUCUUCGUGGAAAGGGGAAAGGGGACUUCAGAGAGCCACGGGCUUCUCGAUUCCGAACAUUAUCGGGCCUGUAGAAUGCGAGGCCCAAAUGACAUGCGCGGAGCUUCUGACGUGGCGAAUAUCUGAUCCCCUAUUGGUUGAUUUUUUAUGCUGACGUGGACAGGCUCAAUGGAGCUCAUAUAUCCCUUUUAAUAUAGUAUUUUAAGCUUUUAUAUAGGUCAUUGAUUUAUUAUUAGUUUUUAACUGAGUAUUUAUUAAUUUUCACAAAACCCGUAAUGAAUUUUAUAUAUAAUAAAACACACAUUUUAUUUUCAUAAUAUUAAAUUUAUAUGUUAUAUUAAAUAAUUAAUUAUCAACUAAUAUAAUAAAAUUGUGAAAAUAUAUUUAAAAAUUAAGAUAAAUCUUAUAUAUAUAUAUUGUGCUGUUAUCUGAAAACAAUAUUUUUAUUAUAAAGUUAAAAAACUAAGAUAUAAAACAGUUUAUAAUUUAAUAUUAGUCAAACAAAAAAUUUAUAUAAAGAUAUUUUCUAAACUAUUUCUAAUAUAUGAGUGUUUUAAGACUUUUAAUACAAUAAUAAAUACAUAGUUUGGUGAAUAUUUUUUGACAUAUAUAAAUAAUUUGAUGUUUGAUUUAACUAUUUAAAAUCAUAAAUAAUAACUUAACUUGUGACUGAGUUCAAAAUAAUUUUUCUUGAUUUUACUUUAAAUGAGUUUAAGUUUAAUCCGUGAAACACUAUAGCUUCAGUUGGUGAGCACUAGAAGAAUGAAAAAAAUGAACAAAAUAAAAAAUAAAAUUUCAUUUGAGGAAUUGAAAAAAAAAAUAGAUUUUUGUUCAGUUUGUUCCUUAUCAAAAUUGCAUAGUGAAUUUUUUUCUUAUAAAUUCAUUUCUCCAUGGAGAAUUUAGAAGGAAAAAGUGAGAUCUACCUUUCAAUAAUUAGACUAAAAUUUAAACAUAACUGGUAUAAAUUAUGAGGAACAAAAAAUUCACCAUAAUUUUUUUCCUUCAAUAUGUUCACCAAUUAGAGUUUUAUAAUGCUGAUUUUUAGACUAAUAAGACAUAGAAUAAUAAGUAUUCGUAAGAUGAUUAUGCCUCCGCAUGUGCGGACAAAACACCUAGUAAUAUAUUAUCUAUGAAUUGUUUCCAAAUCAAUUCUUUAUUCCUUGACUAGCGGAAAAGUCAACAAUAAAUUCAAGAUUUUUUUGAGUAAUUUUGUAUCCCAGCAAUAACUUUCUUUUUAUAAAAUAUAAGCCCAAAAUAGUUUGUUAUAUGUUAAAUAAUUUUUUUACACAUACAAACCAAUAGUUUUCUAUUUCUUAUGAUUUCAAUUCAGUAAAGUGUUUUGGAUAUCUAUCAUAAUUUCUAAACUCCUAUGUAAUAUAAAUUUUAGUAAUAUUUUUACCACUAGAUUUGGAAGUAUUUUGUUCAAUUACUUCAAAAUACUUUUAAUAUUAGAUUUUCAGGUAUUUUAAUGCUCGAGUUAGACAUGAGCUUUAAAAUUUUGGGCCUUGAACUAUUAAAUAUUACCCAAACUAUUAUGUAUCUUAGUACAAAAUUAAGCUCCUAAGUUAUUUUAUUAUUGUUCAAAUUGUAAUCUAAAUGUUUAUAUAUUAAUUUUUUUUGAAAUGCUAUAACUAAUUUAUCAAUUUUUGUAUACUAUACUAACUCAUUUUUUUUUCUUGAGAUCUGAUAUUUUCAUAAUUCAAAAAAAAAUUGUUUUCUAUAUAUCGUAUAAAUAAAUUUCAUUAUAUAUACAUGUUUGAUUUGUUUAUAUGAUACUAAAUAUCAGUGAUACAAUAGAUUAUGAACACAGAAAAAAUAAUCAAUGUAAUACAACUAACUUUUACAAAUGCAUCAUUUUGGUACAAACAAAAAAAAAACAAAAAAUUAAUAUCCACGCGGUCGCGCGGCUCUAGGUCUAGUCCUUCUUUAAAUAGGGUUGUCGAUUAGAAUUAAGGGUCAAAUUUAAUUUUUAAUACGUUUAAGUCAUUAGGAAACAUUGAUAUCACUCAAAUUACCCUAAGAAGUGACUUUACUUUCUCAAAUAAGAGGUUCAGUUGUAGUACUUAUGGAUCAAAUCCACAGAGAGUUAAGGCACACAAUAGAUAUAAACAGUUUAUGAUUAAGCUAGGCAAAUAAAUAAGAAAGCAGUAAAUAAAACAAAUAGGAUGAACAACGUAGUUGUUCAGUAGAUUGAUGGAGUUUGAUGGAAGGAGGUUUUGCUAGAUCUAGGAUUUAUAUUCAGGUAAUCAGGAUUAUAAUGAUAUAAAGACUAAUUGUUGUAUGCAAGAUAUUAAAGAGCAACAGUUAAGAACAAAUCGAUCGGCUCUCGCUUUCUAGAUUUGUCAAUUAACUAGAUCUAAUGAUCUCAACUAUCGUUUGUCGAUCAAUUAGAAAGUGUCGAUCGAUGAUUCUAGAGGAAUAUUGAUCGCUACACCUUUCACGACGUCGAUCGAUUAUUCUAAUGGAAUAUCGAUCGACACGAUUUUAGCAAGCUUUGCGCACGGGUUGAUAAAGUGAUCACUUGUUUCUACUAAUCCUAGUUCAAUGAAGAUCUAUUUAGAGAAAAGACCAAGCUAUCACUUGUGCCUAAUGAUUCUAAAAUCAGGGUUCUAGUUCGCGACUCUAGAAUACAAGCAGUAAGAACAUCCUAUUGAUGAAUAUCACAACCUAGAAAUUAUAUAUUUGGGGCUAAUCCCUCAUAACCUAUUUGAACCCUAAACCUAACGAGUGAAUCUAUUCAAACAUGAAGUUUGUCACAUAAAUCAUAGAUGAAUAGAUGAAUAACAUAAAAUAUAAAUAAAACCAAAACCAAUGGAGUUACAAGAGGACUAUGAAAGAGUUCCUCUCUUCUCUCCUAACCUAGAACUAUGAAUAAAAUAAAGUUUAGCCGUCAGCAAUGACUUAGAAAACACAUAAAUAGGGUUUUAGGUCGUCCAAAGGUGUUCUGGUAAUUUGUGGUUUUUUAUGGGCUUCAGUCGGUCAUAAAAUAUGCUCAGCCCAUAUUCUGCCAUCACCGUCGACCGAUGUCAAGGGUUCACCGUCGGUCGACACUCCUUCAUCUCCUCGACAUCUUCCUCUCGCGAGGCAGACUCACUACUCUUCAGUAAAACGAGCAUAACUUCUACUAUAAGCUGCUUAUCGACCUCAAACCGGUGGCAUUAGAACGCUAACUCAAAGCUCUAUCUUUUUUAAAAUGAUGGGCUCAAUCUGACGGUGAGAAGGUCUCCAUCCAUAGCUAUACAUCUGACGCGUAUGUGCAGUUCUGCAUCUCAAAAGGCUCCAAAAUCACCAUAUUUCUCUAGAACGUACCUGGUACGACCCUGGAUAGGCUGUAACUCCUUGGAUCUCUUGUAGGUGGGUAAAUGCUUUGAUAAUCCUUGCAAACAGAGAAUCAAAUACUCGAUCUGUAUCAAGGCGUGUGGAUUGAUGUGGGACACAAGAGAGAUGGCUCGCCUCCUGAUACUCCAAGGCCUCUGGUCUGGAUAUGACACACCAAAUCAGAGAACCCAAGCUGGAUAUUACACACCAGUAGAAUUGAGAGAAAACUCAAAACAAAGAAGAUGAUAAAAAACGUCGAUUGAUUGAUUUCUCAGCUGGGUACAAUGAUAAAUAGAAAUCGACUAACAUACCCUAAUCCUAAACGAGAAUGGUUUAGUUUAAUUAUAAUCCUAAUCCAAUUCGAAAUUGGUUUAUUACCUGGUCAAAUCCUAAUUCUAUUAAAACUUGGUUUACAUCGGUUUUGAAUUACAAAUAAGAAAUUAACCAACAAGCUCGUUCUUCUUUGGUUUCUUCUUGGGCAUGAUUUGAACUUGAUCUUGAAGUGUCUCCUAAUGUUCUUUAGAUCCUCCACGUCCUGUUGGUCCAGCAAAAGAUAAAGUGGAUCAAGCUUCUGGUUGCAACUCUCUUUAUGGGCCGAAAAAGCUUUAUUUUGCCAACUUCAAAUCUAACUCAAUCCAUCUCCUUCCUGACGUGUUUGCCUUGUUUUCCAUGCAUAUUAGGAUGAUAAUUGAGGUCUCUAAAGCUCAGCUUGAGUUCAGGUGCAUUGCUCUUGAUCUCUUCUUUGUUGCUCACCAAAACGGCUCUAUCUGAAACAAUGAUCAGCUUCUCUGCUCCUAGUUUAAUCAGCUUCUCUGCUCCUGGUUUGUUCAGCUUCUCUACUCCUGGUUUGAUCUGAUGGUUUAAUCCUUCUCGUUCAAGUUGUUGCAAGGCUGUAUAAGAGUUCUCAUUCUCUAUCUAUCCAGAACUUCAUAAAUCAUUCCAAUGAGACCUUGAAACUGCCAAUUCAGCCAAGCUUUGAUCAGUGUAUUUGCUAGCCCAUUCAUUGGAUCCGAUCCCUUAAGUUUGAGCCUGAUCAGGAUCGUAUCAGUACCUGAACAUGUAAAUACUCCAAAUAGACUACAUAUACUAGUAAUUAGUUAUUAAAACACUUAUUAACUAUUUCUAAAAGUGGGUAAAAUCCAUGGUCUAUCAAACAUAUUUAUAAAAAACUAGAGAAUAAUCCACACUACGCACGCUUUGGAGCCUUUCUUAUCGCUUAAAUUUUAUACUAUAUGAUUUUAUACUAUCUAAUUUUUAUGGUUUGAUAAAAUUAAAAUUGAUAAGAUAAAUAGUUGAAAAAAUAGGAGACUCGGCCCGUUAAACUGGUCCAAACGCCAGUUUGAGUUGGCAGUUCCCGACCAGAUAACCACUACGGCUCAGCUUUUCAUUCGGCGCCACAUAAGCGCAUCAGAUUGGCCCAAAAAGAGAUUGAUCGGUCUGACCGUUCGGCCUAGCCACAAUAAGCCAAUUAAGGCAAACCAACCUUAAAUAGGAUGACAAAGGAGCACCUAUAUAAGAAAAGGAAGAAGGAGCAAGAGGUGGAUCUGAGCGUACACAUACACGCUUGGGGCUAGAAUUAAAGUUUUGCUCUUUUAUUUCUUGCUGAUUUGUACUUUCCUCGCCAGCGUUCUGAACACCGGCUUACUUUUCGAUCAAAUUUUUCUUAUUUAUAAUCGAACAUUUCACCGAUCUAAUAAAACACCUUUGAACUAACCCACCACGAAUUUCGUCUCUAUUACCGAUAUCCGACCAAAUUCGGUUCAAACAGUUGGUGCCUACCGUUUAAAAAUAUGAUUAAUCUUAAAUAUAUUAGUCUAAAUCAAGGUUAAAAUAUUAUAAACCAUGGUUUACAAGUUGACACAAAAUUUAGAGAUCGUGCAAAAUAUAUGGCUUUUAGAGGAUAUUCAAUAUUUUUUCAAGUGGAUGUAUAGUAAAUAAAAGGAUUUCGACAGAAUAAUGAGACUUAAAAAUAUUUGAAGGAAUUUAUCCAUUCUACAUGCAAAAAUUUGAGGUUUUAAUUUGGUAAUAAAAUAUAGAAUUAUUUUUUUGGCAAAUCGAAGUAGAUUUAAAAUUACUCGUAGUUGGUGGAGAUAUUGUACACCGGUGGAAUGACCAGUUGUUCAGUCUAUUUGAAGAAAUUUCAAAAAUGCAAAAAGUCUUUUAAUGUUUUCACAAUCUCACAUGUUCCAAGACAUACAUGUUCUAUAUUGAGUACACGAGUUCAGAUAACAUAUGUUGUUGAGUGUUGACAAAAAGGUUUUUUACCAUUGAUUUCGUCAUAAGUUAAAAGAGUUUUUCUAUUGUUGAAAACAAAAUUGUUGUUGAGAAAAGGAGGAAAACGUUUUGAUCCACAAAGAAAAGCGAAGGAAUGAAGAGAUUCUUGCUGGAAUUGAGAGAAACAAGAAAAGCGAAGGAAUUUAAGCAAUUCUUACUAUUACUAAUUUUAAAAGUUAAUUCCGUUAUUUUCUUAAUCAUUUUUUUUAAAAAGAAAAUAGUAUUAUUUAAAAAAGGGUGUCCUAAUAAUGACGAAAUAUGUUGAAAAUCACCGUUGGAAAGGCGUGGCUUUCGCUUGCGUUUCCCUCCCAUCUCGUUCCCAUGUCUCCCCCUCCCUUCCUCUCUUACUUCCUUUACUUUAUGUUUCAUAUUCAAUUUUAAUCUAUUAGAGAUACCAAAUCAACAAAAAUACACUUUACAGAAAGAAAAAAAAAAUACAAAAUUUAAAAAUUUCUUGAAUUGAAUAUUGUUGUAUUUUUCUUUCGGAUUUGAUAUCGAUUUAAAUCUCUGAGGUUUACAUCAAAGAGGGUAAUGGUGGUGGCGAUGGAUCUGAGUCUAAGUUUACGCAUCAUAGCGGCCGUUUUAACGAUGGUGAUCCAGUUUGCUUCGGGCAGUUUCGUGUUCAAUGUGACGCAUAAGUUCGCAGGAAAAGAUAAACAGUUAUCGGAGCUCAAAUCUCACGACACCUUCCGUCACGCUCGGAUGCUCGCCAACGUCGAUCUUCCUCUCGGCGGUGAUAGCCGAGCUGACUCGAUCGGGUUCUCACACUAUUUUCUACAUCUUUGAAAGCUAGAGUUGAAUGUGAUCUUUAGUUUCAAUCUUACAUUUUGGGUUGGAUGGAUCAAUAUGCAGUUUAUACUUCACGAAGAUCCAGCUAGGAUCACCACCAAAGUACUAUCAUGUUCAAGUUGAUACGGGAAGUGAUAUACUUUGGGUCAACUGUGCUCCUUGUUCCAAAUGUCCUGUCAAAACUGAUCUCGGUGUAAUGUUUUUUUUUUUUUUUUUUUUGGUAAAAGUAAUGUUUUUUGUUUUUUUUUUCAAACUUUUUUUUUUUCAGAUCAUUCUCAUUCUCAUUCUCAGCUGGUUUGUUUUGCAAUGCAAUGCAGAUACCUCUGUCGUUGUACGACUCAAAAGCUUCCUCCACUUCCAAGAAAGUUUGGUGCGACGAUGAUUUCUGCUCCUUGAUUUCGCAAUCAGACACUUGCGAACCCGAGAAGAAGCCCUGUAGUUACCAUGUCGUCUAUGGAGAUGGAAGCACCAGUGACGGUGAUUUCGUCAAGGAUAACAUUACCCUCGAUCAAGUCACUGGUAACCUUAGAACCGCACCUCUUGCUCAAGAAGUUGUCUUCGGGUGUGGAAGCAACCAAUCAGGACAACUUGGGCAGACUGACUCAGCCGUUGAUGGCAUUAUGGGAUUUGGACAAGCGAAUACCUCUAUCAUUUCACAACUCGCUGCCGCGGGAAGUGUGAAGAGGGUUUUUGCACAUUGCCUAGACAAUGUUAAUGGAGGUGGGAUCUUUGCUGUUGGGGAAGUUGAGUCUCCAGUUGUGAAAACAACUCCUUUGGUUCCUAAUCAGUAAGUGAGAGACACCAUCUUUGAAUGUAGAAUUCUUCUUUCUUUAAGGCAUUUAAGCUUAUGGUUAUUAUGUAUAACAACAACUUUAUCCAACAAUGUUGUUUGUUUAGGGUACAUUACAACGUCAUUUUAAAGGCAAUAGAUGUAGAUGGCGAUCCUGUUGAUCUCCCACCAAGCAUUGCUAGUUUUGGCGGAAAUGGAGGAACCAUUAUUGACAGUGGUACAACUUUAGCUUACUUACCUGCGAAUCUCUACAACUCCCUACUUAAAAAGGUGAAAACUCUUUUACAUUCUUUAAUUUGUUUCUAGUGUUUAGUCGUCACAACCCUGACUGAUGAUCUGUGUAAAUAUAAUAAUAGAUUACUACUAGACAACCGGUGAAACUGCACAUGGUACAGGAGACUUUUGCGUGCUUCAGUUUCACUUCAAAGUAAGAUGACUUGCUUUGUGUUUCUACACUUUUUGUCUCAACCAUUUUUGACACCAACAAUGUUAUAUAUAUUUGCUUUUAAGUAAAACAUUCAUCACAGAUACUCAAAUUGCAUGUGUAGAAACAAGAAGAUCUAUAAGAUGCUUUGGCCAAGGAUGUGCUAAUAAUAUUCAUUAUUGUACCUGCAGCACAGAUAAAGCAUUUCCGGUAGUCAAUCUUCAUUUCGAGGACUCACUCAAACUGACUGUUCACCCGCAAGAUUAUCUUUUCUCACUUCGUGUAAGUCAAUUUCUACUUUGAUGUGUUUGUGUCAGACCGAAUAUUCAGAGAGUCCCUUCCUCUUGUAUACAUUUUUGUCUGUCUCGUCCACAAAUUGAGCUUUUCCAUUUCUUACAGGAAGACAUGUACUGCUUUGGUUGGCAAUCUGGUGGAAUGACGACGCAGGACGGAUCCGAUGUAAUCCUUUUGGGCGGUAAAUUUCAAAUCUUACUAUCUGAUAUUUCUCAUCUUUAAAAUCAUCUGUGUGUUUUUAUGGUCUCCCAUGUGUAUCAGUCCUCAAAUUGGGUUUUCUUCAUAUGUAGAUUUGGUGCUUUCGAACAAGUUAGUAGUAUACGAUCUGGAUAAUGAGGUCAUUGGAUGGGUAGACCACAACUGUAAGUAUCUAGAACCUGAAAACUAAACUAGCUGAAAAGAAGAAUUCAAACAAAUAUCUUUUUUUCUUCUCUCUCAGGUUCUUCAAGCAUCAAAGUGAAAGAUGGAUCAGGAGCUGCUUACUCACUUAAAGCAGAUAAUCUCGUACAAUCUGCUUCUUCGGUGAUUAACGGAACACUUGUAACGUUAUUAUCGAUACUACUUUCGAUUUUCUAUACUUUUACUUUAUAGUUUUGCUAAAAGGAUAUACAUUGUUUUUUUAUAACUCAUUUGAAACCUCUUUGUGGUUGCGACUUGGCAUUUCGAGUCAUGUAAGUUACAUAGACAACUAACUUGCUCAUUCUUUCGUGUAUAACUCUCAAAGAUAAAUAUAUAUUCUCUUGUUUUGCUCUACUUUUUGGCCGUAAUUUAUACAAAAAAGGUUUACUUCUCAAAAAUAUGUUUUGGGAAAGAAGACACUAUUUUCUGUUCAAAGAAGUAGGAAUGCAAUAUUGUCAUGCGAUUAAAAAUGACAAGAUUUUAUUUGUUUGUGUAUCGCCUGCUCGGUCACUUAAGGAUUUUACACAGAGAUUUGAUCGACUAGUCAAUGGACUAGAGUGAUUGAUCAAAGGACUAUCACCUAAUCAGUCUAAAGACAAUUGGAGUUUUUUUUCAAUCUAUAGAUUUUUUUAAAUCUUCAGCAACUUAGCCUCCACCUACAAAUGACCAAGAGCUUCGUAUAUUUCAUUGCUUUGUUCUAUUUUUUUACCUUGUUCAUUGGAAAAACUAGAUUGCAUACACUUUCCCCAACCAGAUCAUCAUCGAACACAGAGUUUGUGUUCUAUGCAAUCUAGUUAAGUAAAAUAACCACCAGAGCUGCCAAAAUUCAGUUGUACUAGCUUAACAAACCACAUAUAUAAUGUUUAAGGGUGUCAGCUGACCCCCCCCCUUUCAUACAAAUGAUCAUAACUCUUAAACCAAAGUUCUAAAUGAAGCUCCGUUUUGGGCUAUAGAUAAGACAUAUGAGUGAAGAACUUACCCUAUAGUUUGACUUCGAAAUUCACUGAUUUUAUCAUCCAUUCUUUUUUUCCAAAACAUAUUUGAUGCGUUUCUUAUCCUUUUUAGGUGGUUAUAAUGACUUUUUUUUCAUGGUGGCUAUUGAAGGUGGUUCCGAUGUCAUUGCGGAAAUAAUUCACCACUCCAUAAGCCUCUCUUAAAAGUCAUCAUGAAAUUUCUAAUUAAAUAGAGAAAACUUAUGGUUUCUUACAAUUAAACUGGGUCAAAAAUUAAAAAAGUCGUUAGAGAUACAUAUCAUCUGAUUUACAACUAUUUGACAAAGAUUCUUUGGCAUGCCACACAUUCUAAAUUUACUAUUUAUAUGUUCUUCUGAAACGCUGAUGUUAUCUGAGGAAGGAUCAAGGACUCUUGCCUUGGAUUUAUGUGCCUCAGCAUCCCAACCAAAAUAAAGCAUUAAAGGCACAAAAGCAGAGUAGACACUCUGAACAGUACUGUGGUUCUAAAAAGCAGAUGCGGUUUCUAACAUAUAAAAAUUGCUCAAACAAACACAAAUGCGGCUUCAGAAAUUUAUUUACAAAAAAGGGAAAAAAAGAGAGACCGUAGUAAAAGUAUUGGCAGAGUUAUAUAUACAAACAGACUUUUGGCGGGAACAUAGAGCAUAAGAGACAUUGAGACUAAAAAAACUGAAAUGGAGAGAGAGAGACAAAGUCUAAUCUCACAUUUUCACCUCCUUCCUCUGUUCUAUCUCUCUACUCUUUGGUUGGCACGUGCAUGGGCAGAUUCACAAGUGUGUCGAUUCUGUCGACUCCAUUGAGCUCAGGUGAUUCGGUUCCUGAGCCUGGAGUUGACGUUGAUGCCGUGUCCGGUUCAGAAAGGCCAUUGCUGAUGUGUUUAUCCACUGAAAAAGAAGCAGUUGAUAAUUUGUCUGGUUUCGAGUCAAGGAAGAGGCAAACUACAGCGCAGUCAUCGACUUUUGAAGUAGGAAACUUCCAUCUCCAAUUCCUCACUGCAGCUUCCACCAAGGCUCGACCAGCUGUGCAACGUGUUGGUGCUUUCGCUACAAUCUCCACUACUUCCUCAUUCGUCAACACAUCCCAAAUCUAGCAAAAGUUUCAAGAUAGAAAAACAGUUACACUUAAAAGACCAAAUAGUUUUGCACAUCCAUUAUGCAUUUAUUCAACACUAUGUCAGACACUGUGAUGUCUCUUACCCCAUCAGUUGCCAGUACAACAAAUUCAUCUUUCUCAGUGAGGCGUCGGUAAGACACGUCAGGCACAGAAAUGAGACCAAAGUCCUUAAGGCAAAAAUCUCCAAAAGCACGCGCCAUGGCCAGACCAGGUGAGUUGUGGUUAGGAAGCCAGAGGCGGGCAACCCCCGGUUCAUCCCGGAGAGCGAAUAUACGUCCUCUGCAUCUCUUUAUCCUUGCUGCUUCAGCUGGGAACAAGAAAACUCCAACUUUAAUUGAUAAAACCAAAUUAUCUUCUCAAAUGUCUAAAUGCUUAAACUAAAGUUUCAUCACUAGUAGUUCCGUAAGACGAACAUAACGAUGAUGGAAUUGAUCAAGCGUAAACGGUUUCAAAACCUUUAUUAAGAGUGGUAAAUAACCUGGAACAUCUGGUUUGAGAUCUUCAGUUAACUGAAAAGGAACAAGUUUAUUCUCUUUGUUCCUCGUACCCAAUACCGCUCUUGAAUCCCCAAUGUUUCCAACAACAAGAUGUUGACCCUACCCAAAGAAGAAAAAGAAAAAAAAAAAAGAGUACAAACAAUCAAGAUUUCGAAACAAAACUCAGAAACAACAUGAGAAAUUCUGGUCCAAACUAACUACCUGCUUAACCAUAGUAACUGCAGUAGUUCCACUACAAAAACAAUCAACAUCCACUUGCAUCUUCAAUUCCUUGUCCAUGAAUCUGUAGGCUUUAACAAUUGAGGUCAAGAGUGUCUGAACCAUAUCCUGAUCCUUAUUGUAGACUCUGGAUUCUCCAUUAGCAGAUAUGUGGACAAGGCUUUCAGAGGUCUUUCUGUCAGCAGUGUUGAGGCUGAUCUCUUUAAGAACCUCCUCGCAGGAGACAUAGGAAGACUCCAAGUGAGAGCCUAAUUUGAGCGGAAGCAAAUCCCUGACUCUCUUCGCUAUAACGUGACCAUAAGGACCAUGUCCAUCAAAUACACCACAAAAAACAGUGUCCGCCAUCGACCCAAAAUUCUGAAACAUUUCAAAACAAAUCAAAUAUUCAGCUGAGUGACACUAGGCGCUAUUCAACUAAGGAUCUCGUCAACUAAAUCAAUAGUUGCUUGGAGUAAAACAUUUGAUGGCAUACUUUUAGAAAGGAAAUGAAGAUAACAAGAACUAUAUUGAAGUAAUACAUUAUGAUGAGAAUGUACACGACAUACUAAUUACUUUUCUUGGGAAAAAAAACAACAAAAUUGGUUUUUUUUUUAACAGCACAAACGAACGAACCUCCCAGACAAUCAUGGCGUCCUGGUUAGGACCUUUCUUGCCCUGUUGGGAGAAGAGAGAGGCAUGAUCGGUAGAGCCAUUCAAGAACAUCCUUCCAGGGAUCCUGUGGAGAAGUGGCUCAUCUUCUCCUCCUGUGUUGUCGAAAGAAGAACUGCAAGAUCUCCUCUUGGAACUGCUCUUCCUCCUCCUCCUGUUGGAACCACCAGGAGGAAUGGAUCUCCUCCUCCUGGUUUCUCCUGAAGAUAAGCAGGACCCCAUAUCAAGGGCCCUGAAUACGCUUAUCAGGCACUCCAGACCACCAACGCAAUCGAAAUCGAAACUAGUGGUUUCCGGUGAAGGAAUCUUCAACCUCAAGCUACCUUCGCUCAACGCCAGGAUUGUAUAAUUCAACAACAAGACACCGAUUUGGUGAUGAUGAGAAACAAAACAAAUUCAAACUAUUGAUGAUCAAAGGGAUCGGCUCUAUAGCUCUCUCUCUCGGAUUAAUGCAAAAAGUUUGGAUAGAAUCAGAAGAGGAGUCGUAGUUGAAGGAAUAAGAAGAGAAUCAGAGAGAAGAGAAUGAGUUUGAGCAGUCCAGAAAUAGAAGAUGGCUUUAUCCACAAUCUCAUCCACAAACACAAAUCCAAAAGAGAAUCUUUUUCCAAGAACAAGGAGAGAUAGAUUCGGAUCUGAAGGCGAGAAUCAGAACCUGCUUUCAAGGAACAACCACAUACUUCUUACGAUUAUGCUGCUCUCCUUCUCUCUCUCUCUCUCUCUCUCUCUCUUAUUUUAUUAUUUAGGAUGCCUCUUUUUAUUUAAAAAAAAAAUGUUUUACGAAAAACUUCACGAAAAUACUUCUAUUAUUAUUUUCUUUUUACAAACUUAUCUCAGAAAAACAGGAGAUUAGCAAUGAAAAAAAUUAUAAUCCACUGUAUCUUUUCAAAUCAAUCUUGAUUUUUAUUUCAUUUAUUUUGGUUAUUUAUAAUUUCAAAUAUAAUAACCUGAAUAUAUUUAUUUUAAUACGAUAUGUUUCAGAUUGUUAAAAAAACAUAUGUUCCAACAUUUUGAUGUACAAUUUAAAAUAAGAAUGUUCCAUACAAAAUACAAUUUUUUUUUAAAAAAAUAAGACAAUUAUAUUUUGAGAAAUACUCUCAAAAUAGUACUAAAACAAGUUUUUAUUUCAAAAUAAUAAAUAAAAUAAAAAUCCGUAAAAUUUAUGUACAAAAUUUUUUAGCGUUAUCUAUGAUAUUUAUCAUAUUUAAUAUAUAUUUAUUAUUACUAGGUGAUUUUAUAUGCUCAUGCAUGGAUAUCAAUAUUUAUAAAUAAAUAUAUUAUAAUAAUUGAUAAAUAUUUUAUAUUUAGCUUAUAUAACUGUGUAAUUUUUAUGAAUGAUUUAUAUUAUGUUCACCUUUGUUGCUCUUAGUUCGAUCUUCUUGUUGGUUCACCCAUCCAGUUCGUCAAACUUGUCUAGUUCACCAAUGGCUGCAUCAAGAUUGGAUUUUCAGAAGUUUUUCAUUAAGAUUAAUUUUCAGUCUGAGAGCUUGUGGUUAAGUGGUAAAGGAAAGGGUUUGAGACGCUAACAAAUUUCAAAUUCGAUCUACAUGCUACGAAUUUCGCCGUCAUUAGUAUUGUGUUUUCUUGUAGUGUCUAUGGCUCCUGACUCCAUUAUGAUGAACAAUUUGAGAGGUGUGUAGUCAGUCCCACUAACUUGGAUUCAAUUCCCUACAAUAACCCCUAUAUCUUCCUUUUUUUGAAUAAAUGUAAAAUUUUAUUCAAAACAAACUUUUAUACAUCAAGUGCUUCUAGUUUUUGUGUAUAAGACAAAAACUCUAAAGAAUCUGUACCAAAAAAAAAAACUCAUGGUCUCGACUCCCUAGUCUCAAACCACGCGAUCAACCCCUCUUCAGGGUAUUUUCUGCCCCAGCCCCUUCACCAUGAGAAGCUUUAGACGAAUUGCUUUAUCCACAAACUUAGUAAUCGUGCUGGCAGUUUGUGGUUGUUCUCCAUGCCUACGGCUAUUUCUUUCUCUCCACAAAGUAUGAACCGUGGCUUGAAAUGCAUAUCGGAGGAGGAAUUGUUUAGUUGGUGGCAGACUGGUGUUUGAAACCAUACCAACUAUGUCAUUCUAAACCAUUCCAACUAUGUCAUUCCAUUCCAAAUCAUGCUCAGAAACUAACCUAUUUGUUGGUGCAGGUGAAGGUAAAACCUUUCGCUACUGGAAGAUUUCAGUGAUGAUUUUGACUUCUGCUGCAAGCAGGCUGAAGAGGAAUCCAUAGGGCUGGGAUUUCGGAUAUUCGGUUCGGGUUCGGAUAGGAACCGAUCGGGUCCGGGUUUUUCGGAUAAAUGAAUUCUAUACCCAAUGAGUACUUAGUAGAUUUCGGUUCGGAUUUCGGAUCGGGUACUACCGGUUUCGGGUCGGUUCCGGAUACCCGUUUCUUAUGUGAAUUAUAUAAAUAUUUGCAAAAUAAAAUAAUUAUAUACCAGUUAUUUAUUUAUUUAUUUUAUUUUUUUAAGAAAAAGUAAAUAGAAAUCGUAUAUAUAUUAGUAACAUGUAUUAAAUACAACAAAGUUGAAUUAGUCUAGUGGUAUAACAGUUGUUGCUUUGCAUAUCCAACCCGGGUUCGACCCUCAGAAGAUACAAAUCUAUGUUUUUUAAACAUAGAAUUCGGGUUAAACGGGUACCCAUUCGGUUUCGGGUAAAAACCGAAACCGAACCGAUACCCAUGGAUAAUUAACACUAAUAUCCAUCGGAUAAAUUGUCUAGGACCGAAACCGAACCGAACCGGUUCAUUUCGGGUCGGUUCCGGUUCGGGUAUUCGGUUAUGGAUAAAAAUCCCAGGCCUAGGAAUCCAUUAUCAUUCUACCCGGUAAAUAUAUUAUUGUCUUACUGACGAGCUUUGUUUGACAUUUAAAAUAACAGAUGGCGGUUCUGGCAGGUCGAGCUGUUGCUUAAGGACUGAUUACGUAUCACCUUUGCGGUUGAUACUGAUUACUGACCUCAUCAUAAACUGAUUUUCCAGCUAAAUAACUUAGUACUCUAAAAUAACGCUGUUGGAAACACUGUUGCAAGAUAAUCAAUUAUAAUAACUAAGCUUUAGUUCUCUUUGCAAAAUAAAAAUACAAACGAGUAAUGCCAAGAUGCAACCAUGACUAUGAGGUUCUCCCUAAGUCCCUCAGAGAAAGAAAAUUAGAUUUUUCCUCAAAUGCUUCCGACGGUAAUAUUGUUGGCUUUUACAAUAUUCAUCACUGAAGUAAGCUACAACCCUUCAAUUCUAUUUGCCAAAAAAAAAUUAACCGAUAGCUCCUAAAAAGCUAUCUUGGCAUUCACCAUAGCCAAAGCAAAUUAGAUUUCACUUAAGAGGCUUCUAAAUAUAACAUUGUUGGCUUUCUAAAAUUCUAAUCGGCUUGCAGUCUCAGUAUCUCCUUAGCUGUUCUUACCCUGAAGUAUGGCAUGUCCGUCUGAAAACGAUAGAAAUAAGACAAAAUGAAAACAGGAAACAUGUUUUUAUAUCAAUCUUCGCUCAUGUUAUCACCCAAUACUCAUCUUCUCUAUAAGAAUUGCUGCCUAGGGGAUCAUGUCCAGAAGUAAAUGUAAAUCUUGAUGAUAUAUUUUUAUUACCUGGCUAAACUUCAGCCCCAGUCCUCUACUGUAAAAAUCUAUGUAUUUAAGCAUAAACAUCCCACAGUCGUACCUGGACAAUUGGCAAGAGAGGAUUAUCAUCAGAUACUGCAUAACACAAACUGCUAUAAGAGAGCGGUUGAAUUUAGUUGCAGCUAGUCAUAAAUUAAAAUGAACAAAACAAGCUAUAAACUAUGGUAUCACAGAAGCAACCUACGUAGCAAGCUAUUAGAAACCUUGAUAUAUUAUGUUAACCUGAACAGAACUCAUAUCAAGAUAUAAACUCGCAUAGCCAAAGGAGGUUUUUCUAAUAAGAUAAGCAACACUAAAAUUUUGUACCCGUUCUGUUGUAGCGGAAGGUCUUUAACGUAUUCCAUGUCCCAUGAACUAAUGUCAAUAGUUUUACCAUUCUUGUCCUUCACUUCAUCCACAAAGUACUUAGCCUAAACCAAUUCAAGUCCCAGCAUUACUUAAAACUAUCACAGCAUUGUAAAAAAAAGUAAAUGGGUUUAAGUUUAUGAUCAUGAAACUAUACCAGGGCAGUCAAAAUUGUAGGAUCAGAUCCAUUAAGUGAAUCAAGAUACAUGAAUUUGCAUUCCCUUAUGUUAAUCACUGCAAGGGUCCAAUGUACAACACCAUGGAUAGGAACAAAUAUCUGCACAGGUUCAACAUCAAAAUCAAAUCGGAUGAUAUUAGUAAGAUUUACAGAAAGGAAACCAAAAGCUUUAGGUUCUGAAAAAAGCUCACUAUGUCACAGUCAAUAAGAUUAUAUCCGAGCCUUUUAUGUCUGGUCCAUCUCCUGACAGCUUUGUAAUUGUAACUGGGUCUUGUUAGCUGAACAAAUUCAUUUAAAGGGAAAUAUGUAUAAGCCCGUGAAUAUUAAUAAACAUCAACAACUGUCACAGCCAUUAACGGACUAAAAGAGAACCUUGACGUAAAAAAACGUAUUGAAGAAAUGGCAUUUGAAGUCCCUUUGAGGAUCUCUAGUUUCUCUUUCUUUCAGCAAUUCGAGAUAGAGAUUGAUGACCUAUAAAAAGAGAACAAAUUGAAACACCAUGAAUCAUCAAAUGCAACAAAAGGAGAUUAGAAAACGGAAUAAGCACAUCGUCGUUAAGCCAAGCACACGGUUUGAGGCAUUGUAAAGUCUCUCCGCGAAUUUCAAUGCCGGAAUUUUUAUGCAAAACCAAGACCUUCAUCCUGAGAGGGGAAUACGAUUGGUCAAAUUCCUAAAUAAAUAGCAUGAUGACAUUGUGGUGGAAGCUUCUAACAAAUAGUACCUGUUUCUCACAGAGAAGGCACUUUUGACUUGAGCAUCUUCCUCUUCUUUGAGCGGGAUAAAGAGUUCACGAGAUACCUUCAAAUAAACAACAAGUUUCAGAAACAGAACACAUGACAACCGUUCGUAACCAAACUAACAACUUGUCACAACUCUCUAUAAUAAACAUCCCUCAGUAGAUACUCUAUAACUGUUGUAUUCAUUCCAUAAGACAGGAGCAAGAAGAGUAGUGUACCUCAGCGCGCUUUUUCUUCAAACGGGGAGAUCGACGUAUCAAUGGUACGCUCAGAUAGCUACCCUUUGGAGCACGGGGAGGAGAAGGAGAAGAAUAUUCCUUAGCAGCUUGUUCAAUGCUUGAAUCUUCUUCAUCAACCAAAUCAAUCACUUCAUCUUCAUGUAUGGGUUUGCUUGAAUCAAACUUGUAACCAAAUAAAUUGCUUGCUUCAUGAUGACUAAUCCCUAAGCAAACACUUGUUGUCCUCCUCUUGUUACGACGAACCAGUGAUCUGAAUCUAAGAAAUCCUCUGCAACGGGCGUGAAAUUCGCGGACUUUAUAUCUAGAAAGCCUGGGGGGUAUUGUAGAAUCGGAAGCUGGCUUGUCCGAGAAUCUGUCUUGCCUCACGCCGCGCUUUCGUUUGGUCGCUGCAUAAGCCAUGGUGGGUGGAGAGUAAAUCAGCCCUCUGUGAAACCCAAGCAAGCCGUUCGUCUUGUUCGCAGAGCGGCUAGGGUUUAUGAGUCGCCAGCGUCACGGGGCGAGAACGAGAAGGGCAGCCAUUUCCAAAAUUCAAAGCGUUUUGACCAAACAGGUUAUUUCAAUUCGAGCAAGCUAAAGUACAAUGUUACAAUUGUCUUUGAUUGAGACACGUUUAAUAUUGAUAGGAGAAAAUUACAUAUACACGAUACUUUUUAAUAAUAUUGGUUCUUACAUUUCUUUAUAAAUUAAUAUUAGUUAGUGUUAUAUAUUUUAUAUAUCCCCUAUGUGUUAUUUGAGAAGCAUUGCAACAUUUUUUUGUAGCCACAUGUCAUCACUAAAAUGAUUCUUAGAAUCUUUAGAAAAAUAAGUUGGUCCAUCUAAAUAUAUAAUAAUUUUUUUAUUAAACCACAAUAAAUACAUUAUUAAUGUGCUUCAUUAUUUCCAUAAAUAAAAUUACGGAAUUGCCUAAUGUGGCUAAAAUAUAUAUAACAAUUAAUGAUUUUGAAUAAUAAAGAUUUGAUAAAAAUAAGUGUGUAUUAUAAUUAUAUUUGUUUAAUUUUAAGCAAUUAAAAUAAAUUAAACAAUUAUAGUAACCAUAUAAUAAAAAUUAAAAAAAAUAUUUAUAUAUUAUAUUUUGAAAUUUUAAAAACUAGUAUAAAUUACUAAAACUGUUAAAAGAUUCGCUAUAUGCCAUAUAAAAAUACAUAAAUAUCUUAAUUUUGAAACUUUCUUUGAAUUUUUUUUUUGAUAAAAAAAUUUGAAAAAAUAUCGACAACUUAAUUUUUAAAAAUAUUAUAAAUUACUUAAAAAAUUAAUCUCAUAGUGAAAAUUUUGCUAUCACUAAUUUAGACUUUUUGCUAUAACAGAUACAUAUGAUUAAAAAAUAUGAGAAAAAAACAUCAUCAAAUAAAUAUUAAUAUUAAAAUAUAUCAUAUAUAUGUUAUUAUCAUUUAAAUUUAAUUAUAUAUCAUAUCAAAUAGAAAAAAUAUUUUUUUUAUUUAUAAAAUGUAUUUAUAUGUUCGCAGUUAUAUAAGUAGUAGAUAAUGACUUUUUAAUUAUUCAAUAUAUACUUAUUAUUUCACUAAACUAUAUGCCAUAUAAAAAUACAUAAAUAUCUUAAUUUUGAAACUUUCUUUGAAUUUUUUUUUUGAUAAAAAAAUUUGAAAAAAUAUCGACAACUUAAUUUUUAAAAAUAUUAUAAAUUACUUAAAAAAUUAAUCUCAUAGUGAAAAUUUUGCUAUCACUAAUUUAGACUUUUUGCUAUAACAGAUACAUAUGAUUAAAAAAUAUGAGAAAAAAACAUCAUCAAAUAAAUAUUAAUAUUAAAAUAUAUCAUAUAUAUGUUAUUAUCAUUUAAAUUUAAUUAUAUAUCAUAUCAAAUAGAAAAAAUAUUUUUUUUAUUUAUAAAAUGUAUUUAUAUGUUCGCAGUUAUAUAAGUAGUAGAUAAUGACUUUUUAAUUAUUCAAUAUAUACUUAUUAUUUCACAAUAUGUUAUAAACAUAUAAUAUAUAAAAUAAUUUAUAUAUAUAAUGUUCAUUCCGCGCAAGGCGCGGGUCUUAACCUGGUAUCGUAAUAUAACUAAUUGUAUUCAAAAUAUUUGGACCAAAUUGGGUAAUAUGAUUAUUUUUGGUACAAAUAUUCUAACUCGUUUCAAAUACAUUUGUUAUUUAGAUUUUUAGAUUUCUAUACAUGAGAACUGAACUCAUACAAAUCCAUAAAGACUAGACUCAAAACCCACACAUCAAUUUAUAAUAUUCAAGCGAAGCCUAAUUUCAGAACGAAUUGAAAAAUAAUAUCUGAAAGGAACAACAUAUACCUAAAUAGAUAUCUAUGUUAAUGCCUAACUGAUUUUAUAAACUAAUAAAAAAUUCAUUCUAUAUGUUUGCCUAAAUUAAUUGAAAUAAAAAGAAUUUUUAUUUAGUAAAAUAAUUAUAUGAAGUGAAAAAUUAAGUGACAAUAAAUGUAAUACAUUUUUACUAUUUUGAUUUAAGUUACUAUUUUAUUCACAAAAACAUGUAUUUGACUUAUGUUUUUGGUUACACAAUUUUCCACCGAUUGAAACUAUAAUAUUAAAAAAAAAAGUUUUAAGAAAACAAACUAAACUGAAUGUUUAACCAUAUGCAAAACCCAGUUAUUUUAGAUUUUAAUUUUAUAAUUGAUACAAAUUUACUUUUGAUUAACUAAUAAAUAAAAAUAUGCACUAUUAUUAUUAUGAUAAUAUAAUUAAUGAUGUGAUAUAAAGUUAAUGUAAUAUAAUUAAUGAAAUUGUUAAACUAAGUGAAAUAUGAAAAGACAAUUAAUGUAAUUAUAUAAAGGAAAUUAUUAAAAGAACAUUUAUGCCUUUUUUUUAUACAGCUAUUCAUGUUUCCAGACAAUUCUCAUUUAUAUUGUUAUCCAUGUUUCCUAAUAGUACCAAAAUGUAUUUCAGUUUUUUUUUGGUCAAAAAUUAUUUCAGUUAUAAUAAUAUAGAUUCAGAAACAAGUCAGGUAGUAUUCAGAGAUUUUUUUUAUGUCAACUUUUUGUUUUAUUAAACGAAACCCAAAGAGCAAUUUCCAAACUGAUUCAACUAUAAUAUCCGGCCCAAAACAAAGCCCUUAUAAAACAAUCAAAUAAAGAUGAAAAUAUGGUUGACACAUGGUCAAUACGUGGCCGUGUUUUCUCAAUCGAGAAAGAAGAAGGCGGUGCCAGAACCUUCGCCGGAAAACCAACAAUGUCCAUCUCAAACUUACUUGAAUAUGCUUGCAUGUUCUUUCACCUUUAAUCGCCGCUAAUCGAAAAUCUUCUUCUCGAAUUGUUAGAUUUUACCAAGGGAAGAGUUUUAGAAGAAAAUGAUAGAAAAUUGUUGGAAUACUAAUCCUUAUGGCAGCCCCAACUCAUCUAGAAUCUGUCCUGAACCUCUGAAGCUUGAUCUAAACCUUGUUUGUUGAUCUUCGUGGAGACUGCGCCUGACACGAGCGAAGCUUGAUACCACCUCUGAAUCAAGAUCUAAGCUUCUCUAACAAAGAGGAAAUUCAACCUCUCGAACGGUUUAAAAAUUAACCUCAUACUUUCGAUGUGUGGAGGGAACCAUUGCAAAUUAACGCAGAAGGAGAAGAACUCUUCCAUAGCUUUAUUUAUGUUCAACAUGUCAGAGAAAGAUGAGAGUGAUAAUCAAGCUCUGGUCUUGUUGAACUUUACACUUCAAAAUCGCCGACGCGAAACAAGAGAUCCCCUAUGCAAAUAGAAAAUCGCCGAGGCAAAUAAAAGAGAUUGGUUUGUUGACCGAAUUAUAUUACAAACAAAAGUUUUAGAUCUGCAUCCCUUUAAAAGAUGUAUUGUUUGGUAAGAGGGAGAAGAGAGAGUUCUCUCUCUAAGGAAGAGAGAGACUCAUUCAGAGAUUUUCUUUUUAAGUAUUUAUCAAACUUUAUAUAAUUUUUAUAUUGCUUAACAACAUAAACAUUUAGCUAGUCUAGUGGUCUUGGUGGUCCUUUCCACAGGUUCGAGUCAUGUUGGUGUCAGUUUUUGGUUUAUUUUUAUUGUUUUAACGAGUGGUAGAUCUGCAAUUUUGAUUUCAUCUUCUUUCCCUCGUCCUAUAGUCUAAAACGGCAACACAUAUUUUAACUUUUGAGAGCGUUUAUAUGAAAACACGGCCAAUCAUUAACCUAAAACGCAUAGCCUGUUUGAUAUUAGCGAAGCUUAAAUUAUAGAAAGUCAAAAGGAAAUCACUGUCAGUUGGUAUUACAUGGUGAAAACAAAGUAACUUUUAACUAGUAUCUUGACACUUUAACAUACUAUUUAAUUUGCCAAAAUUUUAGGACACACUGAAAAAACAUGAUCAUCAUGAUUAAAGAAUCUCAUGCAUGGUCAAAUUUCACAACAAAACUGGAAGCGAUAAAGACUUCCAAAGACUAUACAAGAUUUUCUACAUUUUUCGAGAGUAAAAUAAAAAUUCAGAUUCUCUAGUUAGAACUACAAAAUAUUUUUAUAGAAAACUUUGCUUUGUUGCUUGUUAUAUACUAGUCUGGUUGACCAAACCAUCUCUAAUUUGAGCAAUAAAAUGGCCUGUAAGAAAAACAAUUGAACAUACUUUCAUCAUGUCAAACACUUCAUGCUUCUGAAUUUCUUAAAAUGACUUCCCAACUAAAACAUACUGAAAACAAAAUUUUUUAUCGUUUACAUCUGAAACAUUUCCUCAUUAACUUGUUUUUUUCUUUACGAUUGAAUCCUUAAUCCGCUGCAUCUCAUACACUUCACCGGCGAUUGAAGGGUUAAACCGGCAGCAACACACAAAGUCUAACCACUGAUGAUCCACACUUAUCGAUGGCUCAUGCUAUCUCGCUUCUCCGACGAAUUUUUUCAUGGCUCUGGCUAUAUAUCUCACUUCUCUGGCAAACUGUUGUAUAAUUACGGCUUGACGAUGAGACACUUUCUCCAUUUUACUCUCACAACUGCUGAUUAACAAUGAAAGAUUUGACUUUUCAUCACUUGUUGUACUUUUCUCUUUCAUUGUUUUGAUGUUUCAAAUCCUAAAUCAGGCGAUUCAUAUUCAUAUGAACAAAAUUUUCUUCUUGUAUAGUUACCGGAAUGUCCACAUCGGUUCCGACCACAUACUACUUAACCAUGUCCAUUACAAAACUUCUUUCAUUUCCAUGAAAUGCACUAAAAAUAUUGUAAUGUUCCUACUGUCCAGGGCUAAUAGGCCUUCCACGCCCACUCACUCGGUUUGUGGACCCCAUUUUGUAUGACGGGUGGUGCGUUAAUUUUUCGGUGGCUCGAAAGUUUUGUUUACCGACCCUGCAAGCACCACAUGACCUUUAUAUGUGUUUUGGCCUCACUUACACGAUACCGUGAAUGACUUCCGGAUAUCUUACAUAUCAUUUUACUACUCCAGCUCAAACACGCUUAACCCUAGAGUUCUAAAUAGAUGUUUGCCCAAAUAGGCAAAUACACUUUAAUGGCAUAAGUAUCCAAAUCAAAUCCUGUUAAAUAUUUUCAUAUAUCACAAACCGAGAUGUUACAAAUAUCUUGUCCACAUGAAUUGCAACUAUAUAAACCUAAACUAAACAAUUUCACUAACACAAGUCCUAGACCCAACCUCACUGUCAACGUCAUCUACCACUUUCGUGUCAACGGUUGUUACAACCACAUCCUAAACCUAAACACACCUUGAACAGUUUAAUACGAUUUCUUUUUCUUAAAUGAAUACAUUAUCAUUUCUAUUUUGUUAUGUCUAAAUGUUUAAAAAUACAAUAUCAUAUGUUUUGUUUAAUUUUUUAGUGAAAUCUUACAUUGAUCACCACAUAAUCUGCCAAACUAUCUAAAUCUGUUGACGUGAGUGUCACAUCAACAAUUUUAUUAAUGUAGAUGCCACGUGUAAAAUGAUAUUUUAUAAAAUACGUGUUCUAAAAAAAAAAAUUCGAAUUGUAUUAUUUAAUAAAUUUUAAUUAUUAUAAAUAAAAAUUAAACUUACUAAAUGGAAUAAAAUUUAUCUAAUAGGAGUUAUAUAUUCGUUGAUAAUUCAGUCCUAACACUUGCUCUCGUAUUACUCUCAAUAAUAUUGGCUAUCUUGUUUUCAUUAAAAAGAAUUUUGACAUGUUGUGUAAUCAUGCUACUAGGAUAAGACAUACGUCUUGCGCAUACUAAAUUUAUAUGAAAAUUAUUUAAUAAAUAUUUUAUAGAAAAAUAAAAUUUAUAUUCUUGAUCGAAUUAAUAUUUUUUUGUUAAUUACAUAACUUGUUUACUGAUGAGCUGAUCCCAUUUUUAAAAAUAUUUUAGAUAAAAAUUCACUUAUCACAUAAGAACCUAACGUUUAGGCCAAAAACUCUCAUGUCUACUAUUUGGUUACCAUGAAACUAUGUCAGCUCGGUUUAUAUCAUGAUUUAGCAAUUUAAAAGUUAAUUACAGUUAUGAGAAGUUUAUGUUCACGUGCCAAUCUUAUCUCUAUCUUCAAUAUUUUUCUCAUUUUUGCGUAGUUAUUUUCAUUUUGGUUAUUGCUCGAUAUAAGUAUUGAUUUUGAGUUUAUUCUAAUUUUGUUAUUUUGUUUUCUCCUAAGAUUUAGAAAAUAUUAAAAUUUAAAAUUAUUAAAGAGAUACUUACUUAGAUUAAGAUCCGCGCGUUAUACAUAAUAAAUAUUUUAUAUUUAUUCCCUUUUUAUGGUUUUGAAUAUUAUAAAAUAAUAAAAUAAUAAUUAUAUAUUAAAUAACGGGCAAUUGUCAAUAAUAGCACAUUUUGAAGUUUAUGUCUCAAAAAUGGCACUAGAAGGAGAAAGUCACAAAAAUGACAUUCAUUAAAGGAUAAAAUAUCCCUAAUACCUUUGGUUUAAAAUUAAAUAAACAAACAAAAAUAAAUAAAAUAAAAAUAAAAAAGUGAAAUUUUUUUUUAUAGUUUCAGAUUAUAUGUUUUCAGAUUCGAAAUUUUUAUAAAUUUUUUUUUGAAAUUUUUUAUUUUUUUAUUUUUAUUUUUUCAAAUUUUUUUUUUAUAAUUUAAAAAUACUUUUUGAAACUGUUUUUAAAAUUUUUAUUUUUUAUUUUAGUAUUUAUUUUUUAUAAAAUUUUAAACCCUAAUUCCAAAACCCCACCCCUUAACUCUAAACCCUAAGGUUUNNNNNNNNNNNNNNNNNNNNNNNNNNNNNNNNNNNNNNNNNNNNNNNNNNNNNNNNNNNNNNNNNNNNNNNNNNNNNNNNNNNNNNNNNNNNNNNNNNNNNNNNNNNNNNNNNNNNNNNNNNNNNNNNNNNNNNNNNNNNNNNNNNNNNNNNNNNNNNNNNNNNNNNNNNNNNNNNNNNNNNNNNNNNNNNNNNNNNNNNNNNNNNNNNNNNNNNNNNNNNNNNNNNNNNNAUUUUGCUACUUCGGUUAAAAAACUUGACAUGCAUUUUCGGAUCGGGUUCGGGUGCCACUUCGGAUAUCGGGUAAAGUGCCCAUCCCUACUAAUUAGGUUAUUUGUUUUUAAUAACUUACCUUUCUAAUAUGGAUUACUUGUGCAAGUUGAAAUCAUUAAAUAUGCAAAUAACUUAUUGACAAAAUUUGUUUUUAAUAACUUACCUUUCUAAUAUAGAUUAAUUGCGCAAGUUCAAAAUCAUUAAAUAUGCAAAUCACUUAUUCACAAUAUGGAUUACUUGCGCAAGUUGAAAUCAUUAAAUUUUAUCGAUUUAGUUUACCCUUGGGCAAGAUUUAGAAUUAAGACAAAUAUUAAAAACUUUCCUUAUUAUUCAAACGGUAAACUUGCGCAUGUUGAUAUCAUAUUUAUUAUAUUGCUUACAAAAUAUUUUAAUGUUUCUAAUUAGGUUGUUUGUUUUUAAUAACUUACCUUUCUAAUAUGGAUUACUUGCGCAAGUUAAAAUCAUAUCAUAUGCAAAUCAUUUUUUGACAAUACACAUUUAAUAUCUUUCUUUAAACGAUUUUAUUAUUUAUUGUGCAAAAUAUUAAAAUCAUUAAUAUGAGAAUAAAUCGACUGUAUAUAUAUAGGAGACACCCAAGGUCUUAAAAUACAAACAUUCUCUUUUCAUUCUUUAAAGUAUUAUUCACAAAUCUCUCCUCUCAUACUAUUAAGGUAUUACGACAAUGCUGCUUGUGUGCUAAGAAAAAUGUGUUUAGACGCAAAGGCUCCUCAUCUUUAGAACCCUGAACUCAACUCUUUGUGUCUUGUCUCUAAAAAGCAUGUCUGGUCUAUCUUUUCCAUGUGUUGAAUACUGGUAACGACAAUAUGGUCUUCCUUUUUUUUUAUGUUGACAAGGUCGUGAGAGUGAUAGUGAUCCAGAAAACCUUGAUUGAACAUGCUGAGAAGCUUCGCCAAGUUAAAGUAGUUCUUGAAGAGGUUCUUUAGUACUUUCUCUCUCUUUGUUGAAUAUUGUCGAGAAAAGUAUUACAUAGUAUCAUUUAGUAAUACUAUCUUAUAUCAUUUUUUUUGUUGAAUAUACUAUCUUAUAAGUAAGCUAGCAUUAUGCAUUUUUUAUUUAAUUCAUAAGGUCAUUUUCUCACAGCAGAGAACUUUUUGGAAUGGCGCAGAGAGGAAAUUUCUCAGAGAUAUACAGGAAGGUUCAACUGAAGCUGCUUAAGUGGGAUGGUGAAGGCGAAGAAUAAAGACCUGUAGAGACCCUUAUGAUUCUUAAAUACGGCGGUGUUCUAACUCACGCUGGUAGAAAACAUGUGAACAUACUCUACCAUUUAAUUUGUCAUUGUUAUAUAUAUAUAUAUAUAUAUAUAUAUGUUUUCCAAAUAUGGAAAAAUUGUUUAACUUAUUGACGUUUAACAUCACUUGCCAUAUAAUCUAACGAAUAUUACAAAUAACAAUUUAUGGAAACUAUUCUCGAAAUUAUUGAAAGACUAAUAAUGUUUUAUUUAUUACUUUUAAUAUUUAUAACCUAUAAAAUAAAAUGAAUGAAAUUUUAUAUAAGAUAAUUAUAAUAUUUUAUCCUCUACUAGAUGAACUGUGUUCAAAUACAAUUAUAUAAUAACUAUUUUAAAUAUUACAAAAUCCAAAAAUGUUUAUUAAUAUUAUUUUUAAAUUAUUUAUCGUUGUUUAAAGAAUAAAUUUAUCAUAAUUUUAAAAUAAUUUAUAAAAUGCUUACAAAAUACAAGGCAAAGUUGCACUUUCAAGAGUUAAGUCGAGAUCUGGAUUAAAAAUCCUAAUAACUGGUAAAGAAGGGAAGCCGAAGACAAAAACAUUGAAUGUUGUCUACAAACAAGUUUUUCAGAAUAUUUCAUAGUCACGGUANNNNNNNNNNNNNNNNNNNNNNNNNNNNNNNNNNNNNNNNNNNNNNNNNNNNNNNNNNNNNNNNNNNNNNNNNNNNNNNNNNNNNNNNNNNNNNNNNNNNNNNNNNNNNNNNNNNNNNNNNNNNNNNNNNNNNNNNNNNNNNNNNNNNNNNNNNNNNNNNNNNNNNNNNNNNNNNNNNNNNNNNNNNNNNNNNNNNNNNNNNNNNNNNNNNNNNNNNNNNNNNNNNNNNNNNNNNNNNNNNNNNNNNNNNNNNNNNNNNNNNNNNNNNNNNNNNNNNNNNNNNNNNNNNNNNNNNNNNNNNNNNNNNNNNNNNNNNNNNNNNNNNNNNNNNNNNNNNNNNNNNNNNNNNNNNNNNNNNNNNNNNNNNNNNNNNNNNNNNNNNNNNNNNNNNNNNNNNNNNNNNNNNNNNNNNNNNNNNNNNNNNNNNNNNNNNNNNNNNNNNNNNNNNNNNNNNNNNNNNNNNNNNNNNNNNNNNNNNNNNNNNNNNNNNNNNNNNNNNNNNNNNNNNNNNNNNNNNNNNNNNNNNNNNNNNNNNNNNNNNNNNNNNNNNNNNNNNNNNNNNNNNNNNNNNNNNNNNNNNNNNNNNNNNNNNNNNNNNNNNNNNNNNNNNNNNNNNNNNNNNNNNNNAAAGUGGUGGAGAAUCACCAGGAAGUUGAAUAAAUCUCAUAGGAGUUGGCAAGAAGAAGUUAUCCCACUUUCAAAUCAGGUGAUUCCAGUUUCCCAGUUUGGGAAUAGCACAGCUUCUUCAUCGUUCCAAUCAAACCAUGAUGAAUCACUUUGUGAAAAGCUUGAUUUGGAUACAUAAAGUGGUGGAGAAUCACCAGGAAGUUUAAUAAACCCAUAGGAGUUGGGAUGAAGAAGUUAUCCCACUUUCAUUGUAGAUUUCGUUAAUCCCAUAUAUAGCUAGGGGAUAAUAAUUAUCGAUUUAGUUUAGCAUUGAGCAAGAUUUAGAACUAAGACAAAUAUUAAAAACUUUCCUUAUUAUUCAAACAGUAAACUUGGGCAUGUUGAUAUCAUAUUAAUUGCAUUUGCUUAGAAAAUAUUAUAAUGUUUCUAAUUAGUAGGGGUGGGCGUUCGGGUACCCGUUCGGGUUGGGUGUUUUGGAUUUUCGAGUAUUUCGGUAUAGAGGUGUAGAACCCGUUUGGGUAUUUCUGUACUUCGGGUCGGAUUCGGGUAUUUUUAGUUCGGAUUCGGUUAUUUCAGAUCGGGUUCGGAUAUUUAGAUUUUGAAAAAAAAAAAAAAAUUUUCAUUUCUCAAGUUUCUUAUAUUUAAAAAUAUAACUUUCAGUUAACUAAUUUUUUAUUUUUAAUAGAUUGAAUGGUUAAUAGAUUUAGACAUAAAAAUUUAAAACUAAAAAGGCAUUAAUUUAGUUAUUUUUAAAAAANNNNNNNNNNNNNNNNNNNNNNNNNNNNNNNNNNNNNNNNNNNNNNNNNNNNNNNNNNNNNNNNNNNNNNNNNNNNNNNNNNNNNNNNNNNNNNNNNNNNNNNNNNNNNNNNNNNNNNNNNNNNNNNNNNNNNNNNNNNNNNNNNNNNNNNNNNNNNNNNNNNNNNNNNNNNNNNNNNNNNNNNNNNNNNNNNNNNNNNNNNNNNNNNNNNNNAUCUUACUAAUUAGGUUGUUUGUUUUUAAUAACUUACCUUUCUAAUAUGGAUUACUUGCGCAAGUUGAAAUCAUUAAAUGUGCAAAUCACUUAUUCACAAUAUGGAUUACUUGCGCAAGUUGAAAUCAUUAAAUAUGCAAAUCACUUAUUCACAAUAUGGAUUACUUGCGCAAGUUGAAAUCAUUAAAUAUUAUCGAUUUAGUUUACCCUUGGGCAAGAUUUAGAAUUAAGACAAAUAUUAAAAACUUUCCUUAUUAUUCAAACGGUAAACUUGCGCAUGUUGAUAUCAUAUUUAUUACAUUGCUUACAAAAUAUUUUAAAGUUUCUAAUUAGGUUGUUUGUUUUUAAUAACUUACCUUUCUAAUAUGGAUUACUUGCGCAAGUUAAAAUCAUAUUAUAUGGAAAUUAUUUUUUGACAAUACACAUUUAAUAUCUUUCUUCAAACGAUUUCAUUAUUUAUUGUGUAAAAUAUUGUGCGUUAUUAAUAUGAGAAAUAAAUCGACUGUAUAUAUAUAUGAGACACCCAAGGUCUUAAAAUACAAACAUUAUCUUUUCAUUCUUUAAAGUAUUAUUCACAAAUCUCUCCUCUCAUACUAUUAAAGUAUUACGACGAUGCUGCUUGUGUGCUAAGAAAAAUGUGUUUAGACGUAAAGGCUCCUCAUCUUUCAUCGACUCUGCCACCCACUUUGACUUGGAAGUAUUAUAUGCUACUUGAUGAAUCGACUCUGCCACCCAUUUUCAUCGACUCUGCCACCCACUUUACCUUGGAAGUGUUAUAGAAAAAUUAAUAAUGUUUUAUUUAUUACUUUUAAUAUUUAUAAACUAUAAAAUACAAUGAACGAAAUUUUAUAUAAGAUAAUUAUAAUAGUUUUAUACUCUACUUGAUGAAUUGUGUUCGAAUAUAAUUAUAUAAUAACUAUUUUAAAUAUUACAAAAUCCAAAAAUGUUUAUUAAUAUUAUUUUUAAAUUAUUUAUCGUUGUUUAAAGAAUAAAUUUAUCAUAAUUUUAAAAUAAUUUAUAAAAUGCUUACAAAAUGCAAGGCAAAGUUUCACUUUCAAGAGUUAAGUCGAGAUCUGGAUUAAAAAUCCUAAUAACUGGUAAAGAAGGGAAGCCGCAGACAAAAAUAUUGAAUGUUGUCUACAAACAAGUUUUUCAGAAUAUUUCGUAGUCACGGUACGUAAUUUUAAUCUAUUUUUUUUUUCAAAUACAAAUUUUAAAAUGAAUAAACUGUUGCAAUUAUUUAUUUUUUGUAUUUGCUAGAUGGGUUGUGAUGAGUUAGGAGACCGAUGACGGUAUGUCAAUUUAAUAUUAUUUCAUGUUCAAUAAAAUUUAGAAAUUUAUAAAUCUAUCAAAUAAUGUUAACCCGUCAAAUUGCUUACAAAAUUUAUUUAAUUUUUUGCAAGUUUCUAAUUGAAUUUGCUUUCUUUAUCGAGAAAUGUACUUCAUAAUUUAUAUUAUUUAUGGAUAAUAUUUUGAUUUUUAUUAUAUUUUCUUUUAAUAUGUCUACAUAAAUGUUUGUUUAUUAUUUAUGGAAAAAUAAUAUUAUUCACCUAAAAUAAAGAAUUACGAAACAUAUACAAUACAAUUCUAAUUAAUGAUAAUAUAAAAUCUGUUACUUCUAAAACUAUACACUAUUUAUUCCUUUUUUUGAAUGAAAGUAUCUACGUAAACACACAAAAUAUUUUGUGACGUUGCAAUUAUACAUACAUACAAUAUCUGCCUCUUCAUACUGACGUUACUGUGUUCCCUCUCGUGAGGUACGGGCCGAGAGAGAACACAGAGUACGGACCGAUCAUGUUCUUAUGCCCGCACAGAAUGCGGGCCGGUCACCUAGUAACUAAGAAAUCAAUUACUAUUAUGUAAUAAAUUGGCGUGCGCAUAUAAAUCAAACGACCACUCUUGUUUAUUCGCAAUCAUUUUAGGGUACAUAAAUCAAAACAAUCAAUUUUAUCUAUCGUAUAUGAUAUAUAAUUAAAUUUAAAUGAUACUAACAUAGAUAUAUAUUAUAUUUUUAAUAUGAAUAUUUAUUAAAAAAGGUUUCUACUCAUAUUAUUUAUGAUUAUUUUCUUAUUUUUGUAUCAAAAUUUUAUACCAACGAUUUUUUUUUAUGUUGAAUGUUUAGUGGCUUCAAUAAUUUAUAAUCAUUUAAAAAACAUUGAAGAUUUCAAAAUUAAAACAUUAACUUUUCAAUAUAUGUUCAACGUAGAUAUCAAAAUAUUAGUAUGUUUUUUAAUAUUAAAAUAAAAUUAUUUAUUCAUAUGAUUUUAUAAUCAUCGUAUCGUAUUAUAAAAAAAAAUUUAAAUAUUGAUCACAAAAGUUUAUGUGAGACUUUUAACAAUUUUAGUAAUUUAUAUUCGUUUUGAAAAAUUUAAAAUACAACAUAUACAAAAAAAAUAUAAAAUUUUAUUAUAUGAUUAAUGUAACUCUGUAAUUUAUUUUAAUAACGAAUAAUUAAACAAAAAUGAUAGAAUACAUAUUGUUAGCAAAUAUUUAUUAUUUAAAAUCAUUAAUCCCUUAUAUACUAAAACAGAAGUCACAUAACGAAUCAAAUACUGACACAUGGCAUUUAUUUACAAAUUUAAUUUAAGUUUGAUUUUUAAAAAUUCUGAUUCUGAUUUUUUUGAAACUGCAAAUGCUUAAUCCUUAAUGUUUCUCACAUUAUCACCACUAUGUUAACUUUGAAACUGUUUUAUAUUUUAUUUAUUUUACUCUCCUUAUCUUCUUUGCUUCAUUCUCCUUAUGGUGAGUUCUUCGUCUAAUCAAAAAAAUAAUCGAUACAAGUUAGGUAUUUAUAAUGAUGUAAAUUAGGUAUUUAUAAAUUUGUUUUUUCUAAACCUUAUCGGCUUGACUAUUUGGCAAAUCUUUUUUUUUUUUAAGCAGAGUAUCUUAUAUUAUCUUACAAAAUUUCUAUUAUAUAAAAGUUGUCUAUUUUCCAUACAUGCAUGUAGGGGUGUCAAAAUGGGUAAACCAACCCAAACCAAACCAUAUCCAAAUGGUUUUAAGUUUAUAUGGGUUAUGGUUUUAACCAAUCCAUUUGUCAAAUAGAUUGGGUAAAUCCAUAACUCAUUUAAGUUAAUGAUUUAAUGGUUUUAAUGGUUAACUCAUGAAAAAUAAUUUUAUAGCUUAAAUGGUUACUAUGUAAAAAUAUUACUUUGGGGCUGAAAACAAAAAGAAUACUUAGACUUUUGAUAAAUACAAUUAUAUGGUUUUGGUGUUAAAAACAAUUAUAUUAUUUUACCAGAGAAAAUAAUUUUGUGAUUUUAGUGCGAAAACUACUUUUAACAUUUUUGCGGGAAAACAAGAUUUUCUGUUUUAGUAGAAAUACAAUUUUAUGGUUCUGGCAAGAAAACACAGUAUUACGGUUUUGGCCGAAAAAUACAAUAUUGCGGUUUUGGUGAGAAAAGAUGAUUUGCGGUUUUGGCGAGAAUAAUCAAUUUUGCGGUUUUGGUGGAAAAACUCAAUUUUACGGUUUUGCCAAGAAAACAUAGUAUUAAGGUUUUGGCCGGAAAAUACAAUAUUGCAGUUUUGGCGGGAAAACAUGAUUUUGCGCUUUUGGCGGAAAAAAACAAUUUUGAGAUUUUGGUAGGAAAUUUCAAUUUUGCGGUUUUGGCGAGAAAACUCAGUUUUACGGUUUUGGCGGGAAAACUCAAUUUUACGAUUUUGGCAGUAAAUUCAAUUUUACGGUUUUUACGAGAAAACACGAUUUUGCAGUUUUGGCGGAAAAACUCAAUGUUACGAUUUUGGUGGGAAAACUCAAUUUUGCGGUUUUGGCGGGAAACUCGAUUUUAUGGUUUUGGCGGAAAACUCAAUAUUACGGUUUUGGCGGAAAAACUCAAGUUCACGGUUUUGGCAGUAAUUUCAAUUUUACGGUUUUCACGAGAAAACACGAUUUUGCAGUUUUGGCGGAAAAACUCAAUUUUUCGAUUUUGGGAAAAAAAACUCAAUCUUGCGGUUUUGGCGGGAAACUUGAUUUUAUGGUUUUGGCGGAAAACUCAAUUUCACGAUUUUGGCGGAAAAACUUGACUUUGCCGUUUUGGCGGAAAAUUUUUAUUUUACGGCUUUGGUGGAAAAUUAUGUCAUAUGUUCAGUUAAAAUCGCUAUAUGGUUUCAGUUUAUUUUCCAAAAUUUUAGGUUUGUAAAAGUUAUAACACAUUAAAAUUGUAUCUUAAUUUAUUUUUUUAGUUCGGAUAACUAGAGUUUUUAAGGUCAUUUGGCUUUUAACCAUAAACUAUGGUUGUAUCUACUUUUAUUUAAAAAAAUCCCUAUUUUAUUUUAUAUGGUUACAUAAUGGAUUUUCUAUAACAUUUUACUAAAACAGAAAAUAAACUAAUUUAGUUUUGGUAAUUUUAACAUAUCAUUUUAUCGUAUUUUCUGUGAACCCAAUAUUUAUUAUUUACACAGAGGUGCGGAAAAAUAGAGUAAUAAUGGAGUUGUAAAUAGUUAGAAAUAAAAGAGCAACAUUUAUGUGGAAGCACCCUAGCCUAUUGGUUAAGGUUUAAAGGCUUCUACACCCAUGUCUGGGGUUCGAAUCCCAGACUAUGCAAUUUCUUGCAGAAUAUAGGAUGCAAGGCUUUCGGAGGUUCCAGAGUACUGUAAGCAGAGCCGUUCGUUGUGGUCGCAUGUUGCGGUGAGAGCCUGUCCAUCGAGGAUGUCGUACAUGCAGAACCGUCCGUGGUUUUAAGUGUUUCGGGGAGAGCUUCAUCGUGGAAUCAUUAUUCGUGAAGGUUUUCAUCAGUAUCGCAUAUGUUGCAGGUAGUUGAUAAUCAUAUGUAAUAGAUUUAGAUAUUAUAUGAUGAUGUAAUGUGUUACCCAACGUUCAAAAAAAAGAGCAACAUUUAUAAAUAUGUGCUUAUUUAUCUACAAAUAAUAAUAAGAAUAAGGUUGUUAUUUCUUAAUAUGAUUACAUGUCAGUUCGAUAUUAGCG
rnacentral:lncRNA from 1 species